UAAAGUCUCUUCACCAUUGUUUCAACAUGAAGGUUUGUAAUAAAAAUUUGUUUCUAUCAGCAUUGCUUUGCAUUGCUAUUGCAGGAGUUUUGGGUCAAGCUCCUAGUAAUCCUCCUACGUCUACGCCGGCGCCACCCACACCACCGGCUUCUACUCCUCCUCCGACGACUCAACCACCGCCUACACCAACCGCCACUCCGCCACCAGUUUCUACUCCUCUUCCCACUUCAUCACCGCCCCCAGUGACAGCUUCUCCACCCCCAGUUUCAACUCCUCCACCCAGUUCUCCUCCUCCCGCAACUCCACCACCUGCUUCUCCACCUCCUGCAACUCCACCUCCAGCUUCUCCACCUCCUGCAACUCCACCUCCAGCUUCUCCACCUCCCGCCACUCCUCCACCAGCAACCCCCCCACCUGCAACUCCUCCUGCUACCCCACCACCAGCUCCAUUGGCUUCUCCUCCAGCCACAGUCCCAGCUAUCUCUCCAGUACAAACACCAUUGACCUCGCCACCAGCUCCGCCGACCGAGGCCCCAGCACCUACCCUCGGGGCUGCUACGCCAGGUCCAGCUGGAACAGACACGGUACAUUUUCUCUUAUUCCACCAUUUUAUAUCUUUCUUCUCCACCUACGAUCAAGCUUUAUUAUCGGUUGAAAUUUAAGCCUUUACAGCAAGACUUAAAAUAUAAUUUUAUUAAUGUUUUUAUAAUAUUAAAUUAUAAUUUUAUCAUUUUUACAUAUUAAUGUAUAAUUUUAUAAUAUAAUAACUUAAGUGAUAAAAUUUUUUAUUUUCGGUACCGUGCCAACUUUCUAGCCUCGCCCUUAUCUUACAUAAACAACAAUCUGAGCUUGUCUCGAUAUUAGCUAACCCUUUAGCCAUUAGAGAUGGCAAUUGGUACCGUCCCGAUACCCUCAACAUAAUCUGAGUUAAAAGUAAAUAUUUAUCGGGGUUUUAUCUGUUUUUAACACAAUAUUUAAAAUUAUUUAUAUUUUUUUCUCAACUUAUAAAUAAAAGGAUAAUACUUCAACAUAUUUGAACCCACACUUUCUUAUAUUAACAACGGUAUCUAUGUCAAUCGAAUUUAACAAUGGUACUUAUGUUAAUUGAAUUAAGACUGAAUAUAUUAAAUUUAAUUAAAACUUAACAUUAACCACAGUAUGAUUCAACAUAUUAGCUUUAAUUAAUGUUGAUUUUGAACAUAUUAUUGCAGAGCGGAGCAAAUCAAAUGUGGACCGUACAAAAGAUGAUGGGAAGCUUAGCCAUGGGAUGGGCUCUGCUCAAUCUGAUGGUUUAAAACAACCGUGUGCCUCACAUUUGAUGCCAUAGCUCUGUAAUGUUUCAUUCAAUUGCUUAUUUCGGCCUUGUUUUUCUCGUAUUUUAUGGGCUGAUGUCUCAUAUGGGACUUUUCUACUAUACGUAUAUGAGAGCCUACAUUACUUUACCAUUAUAUUGUAUUCUUUGAGACAUUAUUAUUAUUUUUUUACCUUUUGAGGACACUCUUUUUUGUAUUUGAAGGAAUUUAUUGUUUAUUUUGUUUGGAAUAUGUUGGUUGAUUUAUUCGAUUCAUAUAUAUUAUAUAAAAGUAAUUAUGUUAUUAAGAAACGUAGUAAGAACUUACAAACAUGAGGAUCGAAUUCUGAACUUCAUACAAAUCAACUUAUAAUCCACACAAGUUUAACAUUAAAUUAGCGUGAUUGGUUAGUAAAUUCAUAUUUUUCUGUUUAAUUUUUUGAAUUCUUAUUAGCUUUUUUAAUGAACAAAAUGAAUUAGAUCAACUGAUUGAAUCAGUUGUCUAAUCAAUUGAAUUGAUUAUUUGAUGCAAACUUGUAAAAAGAUAAUAAAAAUUUUAAAAAUUAAUAAUUGAAUUGACGAUUUAACUAAAUUAAAUUAAAAAUAGAACAUAGGAGGAAGGGAAAACUGAUUUCUUAAGCAACUUAGAUUGGAAGUGUAAUUAUUAUGUGAAUUACUUAAGGUAGAAAAAGAGUGUCCAAAAUUGGAGAGCAUGCAUGUGGAAAGAAAUGAUUAAGAAUGAUAAUGACUUUAGUUGGUUAUAGUUAUAAAGACUUAUAGAUGAAGUUAAACCAUUAGGUCCACCAUUUAUGGGUUCCCUUUAUUUGCUUUGGAGUAGCUUUGAGAGUUGGGAUUCAUGGGAUGUGAGAAGUAGACUUUGAUUCAUUGGGAAGUAGCUACAUUUUCCUUAGUCCUACCAUCAAUCCCAUUAGUGAUUAACUCAUUAGUCAUGGCUAAUCCAAUAAUAAUUAAUUAAUUAAUUAAUUAAUUAAAAUUUUAGAAAUCAAUUCAACACCUAUAUCCAAAUUGAUAUACUAAUUAAUUUUUUAUCCAAGUGAUUAGUUCGAUUUGAAUAACACUAUAUAUCAUGAAUGAAUGAACGUGUGGGGAUAGUUUGUUUUGUUGUUUUGUGAGAACUCAUGCUCUUGCACUUUUAAAGGGCAAUCUCUAUUGUUAUAGGCUAAUUUUGGCCCAGUCCAUUUUAUAAAUAACCCAAUUGUUAAACAGCCCAAACCCAAUGGUCCAUUACAUACUCAAUUCACAAACCCUAAACCUAGCCCACUAGUACUAAACAUUUUCCAGCAAAAAGAAAAAGGAAGAAAUCCUAGCCAUCUAGCCACUUUCCCACUUGCCCCAUUUUCCUCCCAUUUUUUAUAUCCAUUGUCUGCCACCAUCACCUACAAAAGAAAUAGAAAAAGAAAUAAUAGAAAAUCAUGUAAAAGAUGGCUAUAAAAAACCAUUUAAAAAUCAUGUAAAGGGGGAAAAAAAGAAUUUUUGGCUAUCAAUACAAAAAUGAUUUUUUUUUUGCAUCAAUACUAGUAGGUUAAAAUACAAGAAUAAUUCCAAAAUACCAAAACAGUGCAAUAUCAUCGAAUCAGAUCAAACCCUAAGGUGAAUGUACUAUUUUUUUUAUUUUUAUUUUUUGUUCAUUUUCGAAUCUUUUUUUUCUUUCCUAUCUAAAUACAUAAAUAGAAACAAAAAUGAUAUUUUAAAACAUAAAAAAGAGAGAGGAAAAUUUACCUUUUUCGGCCACCGUGUACGGUGGCCGGCGCCGGUGACGGUGGUCCGGCGAUCGGUCGGUGACCGGCCCAUGGCCGGAAAUCUCCUUCCCCCUCCCUUCUCUCUUCCUUCUCUUUCUUUUUUUUCUUUCUCUCCUCACCAAAUGAUUUUUUUUUUUUGCAAAUUUUAGCCCUUUUAUAGCCCCCCAAAACGGCGUCGUUUUGGGGUUGGCCUUUAAACCCCAAAACGACGUCGUUUUGGCCUAACCCAUUUAUUGACUCGGCCCGCUCCAAGGAUCCGCGUGUUUUUCAUUGGAGGGGCUAAUUGCACUUUUAGCCCCUCCGCUUUUUCAUGCUUCUGCAAUCAAGUACUUUUUUCAAUUUUUUAAAUUUGGCCACAAAGUAUGUAACGCUUUGCGAUUUAGUCCCUUUUGUUGUGUUGUGUUUUGAGGGGAGGAAUAAUUCUGUUUUUAGCCCUCAUUUGUUUUGUGCGCGUCCAAUCAAGUCCUUUCUUUUUGUUUUUAUUGCGAAUUCGCCCCAAACUUUCUGGUUUAAUUUCGAUUUAAUCUUUUUUUAUGGUUUAGCUAUUUUGUCCUUAAAUUAGUUAAUUUUAUCAUUUUUGCUAUUAUUUAUACUGCUAUUUCCUAUUGUUAUUAUUGUUACUAAUAUCAAUCUAUUACUAUUAUUAAUAUUACUAUGUAGUAAUGUAUAUUUUACAUACGUAUAUGUAUAUAUAUAUUUAUAUAUGUUGUUAAUUUAUUACUUUAUUUUAAUAUCUUUAUUAUAUUUACUUUUUAUAUUUUAAUAUUAUUAUUAUCAUGAUUACUAUAUAUUAGUGUAUAUUUUUUUAUUAUAUAUUUAUAUUUAAUAUAUUUAUGUAUAUACUUAUGUAGCAUUAUUAUUAGUCCUUUUUAUCCCUAAUAUUUAUGUAUUAUGUAAAUAUUUUAAUUUUAUAUUAUGUAUAUCUAUAUAUUUUUCGUAUAUAUUAUGUAUAUAUGUUUUCAAUAUUGUAUGUUAUAUAUAUUAUUGUGUAUAUAUUUUAACAUUAUUAGUUAUACAUCUUUUAUUCUAUUUUAUAUAUAUUUCUUAUAUCAUUGUAUAUUUCUAACAUCAUUAUUAUUUAUAUAUAUAUGUAUGUAUUUAUACAGCGUAUGAAUAGUUUUUAUAUUAUUAUCAUUUCUAAUAUAUAUUAUAUGUAUUUUAUAUAUUAUGUAUAUAUUUUAAUGUUAUUAGUUACAUAUAAUUCUUAUGCUGUUCCAUGUAUAUAUUUUUGAUAUCAUCUUAUGUACAUAUAUAAAUAUUAUGUUAUAUACAUAUAUGCAAUAUGCUUUUUAAUACCAUAUUUUGUAUGUAUUAUUAUUAUAUCUAUUUUUAUCCCUAUUAUAUUUAUUGUUAAUACUAGUACAUAUAUUUUAUUAUAUGAGUAUAUAUAUACUUUUAUAUAUAGUAUUAUUUUCAUACAUUAUCAUAUUUAUUAUUAUACCUAUUAUUUUCACUAUUUUCACUUAUUAUUUUAUUUUAAUAUUAUUAUAUAUAUUCAUAUAUGUUAUGUACAUAUUUUUUUUAUAUCUAUUUUAUACAUAUGUAUAUAUUAUAUAUAUAUCUUAACAUUACUAGUUAUAUUUUCACUAUUUUAUGUAUAUACUUCAAAUACUAUAUAUAGUAUAUUUCUAACACUAUUACUAUUUAUAAAUAUAUAUAUAUUUUACGUACAUACUCUGAAUAUCUUUAUUAUGUAUAUAUUCGUUGUUUUUAUUUCACAUUGGAUAUUAUUAUUAUGUUUAAUAUAUCGCAUGCAUUGUUAUUGUUUUAAUAUUGUUUUCAUAUUUAUUAUUUGUUUCAAUGUAUUUCCAACUCGUUUAUUUUUGUCUCCCUCCUAUUUUAUAUCAUUCUGUUGUUCAUUACUUUAAAGAUUUUUAUUCAUGUUUUUACUAUUUCAAUAAAUAAGGCAAUGUUUCGCAUUUUGAAACAUCGAAGAAUUGUGCCCUAACUUACGGGGUUUCGGUUCUCUUGUUGGUUCUAAAUAGCUAAAUAUCCUUUUGAGUUUUGAAAUGCACGGAUUUCCAAUUUAAAUUAAAAGACGACCUUGUGCUCGGGAAUUCAUGGUAUUGUGUCCUAACUUACGGGAUGUGAUACUCCGAUAUCUCGAGAUAAGGAAAUCUUUAAAGAAAUCGAUUUAAGCUAAUUCAAGAAUUUUAAAAUCAGUAUUAAUAGAAAAGAUCGUAUUUCAAGUCCCUUCCCGAUUUUUAAUUUUCGACAUUAAGACACUAACUAAUUAAUUCGGUACCAAUUUUUUGGGCGUGUCGAGGGUGCUAAUCCUUCCUCGCACGUAACCGACUCCCGAACUCAUUCUCUCAAGUUUCGUAGACCAAAGGCCCUGUUUUAGUAAACUAAAAUUGAUUUAUUAAAACAAAGGUGAUCCGAUCACACCUGGUAAAAGAUUGGUGGCAACUCCCGUUUUAAUUUUCACUUUCAAACAAAGUCGAUCCCCGUUUUCAAAAGAAUGGUUUCGACAUCUAUAAACCCCAUUCGCUGUUGUGCUUUGGCCAAAUGGGUUGCUAACUAUCAUAUUAUUUUCAGUAAAAUCUAAUUGCAAGCCUUUCUCUUUUACCAUAGAAGUGCAUAUGUAGGAGUGUAUGGAACCUGGGUCACACAAGAGUCAAAUAAAGAGAAAGUACCAAUAAUAAUGUCAGGUGCAUCCUGCUCCUCUUGUGGCUCAAUACCAUAGCAUCGUGCUGGUACUAGAGUAUUUGAUUUAAUCGGAAUCUCUUUCUUAGCUCUCUGACUAUUCCCAGCAUUGCUAUUCCUAAUAAACUUUCUAUUUCUUUGAGAAGUGGGGGCAGAUCUCUCUGUUUGUGUAGGGGUACUGGCUAUCUUCUUAGCGCAAUCUUUGAAGAGGUGUUCUUUAGAGCCACAUCCAAAGCAUGCUCCUGUAACUCUCCAACACUCCCCAGAGUGGCUAUUGUUGCAGUGCUCACAAAUCAACUGAGAUGAUCUUUUCACUAACCUUGUACUGGCCACAGAUGUCACCUGCUGUACAGACCUAGCUACUCAACCCUGACUCAGCCUCUGACCAUGCCUUUGAGUGUGAAUUGGUGUAGAAUAUGAUUGACCCUGAGAAUCCCUAGCCUUUUUGGUAGCUGGAAAUGAUGCAUAACUAGUCUGUCCCUGACCUCGCUUAAUCUGGCUCCAAUUCUUUCUUUUCUACUCUUCUUGCUUAACUUGCUCUACUUUCAAAGCUCUCUCCACUAAGGUAGAAAACUCUUGAAUAUUCAAAGCGGCAAGGUGUACCUUAAUCCCAUUAUUGAGGCCACGCUCAAAUCUUGCGCACUUAUCUGCUUCUAUAGAUACCAAUUCUUUGGCAUACCAGCUGAGUCGUAUAAACUCUCUCAUACUCAGCAACAGUCAUAUCAUUCUGCUGAAGAUACAAAAACUCUGCCCUCCUCUUUUCUAAAUAGAUAGCACCAAUGUACUUUUUCUUGAAUUUAGCUAAGAAAAACUCCCAAAUCAAUAAUUCAUUAUUCGACAUUUUAAAACUAAUAAAAAAAAUUCUCACUUUACUUCAAAAACAAAAUAAAUCAUGUGACAAUAAAAUUAAUGAUGUUAAUAAAUUUUAAAAUUCAUGUGAACAUUUUAAUUAGAAUAAAAUAUGUAGCUUAAUUAAUGAUAUUGUAAAAGUUGAACUAACAAAUUAUAUAAAAAAAUAAAGUAUAAAAAUUUAAAUUUAAAUUUAAAAACUAAAAUUUAAUCAUUAUUAUACAAUCUCAAAUAUAUAAACGGAUCAUAAUUGAAGUUAAUUAUUAUUUUAAUGUAAAUAAAAUUUUAUUUUAUUUUUCUCCAUAAGCUAUUAAUCAUAACUUUUAAAUUGUCAGGAAUGAAAUGAAAUUUUAUUUUAGCCAUGGAGGCAGGCAACACUGUCAAGGAACAAGGUACAAAUGGUAUACAAAACGUUGAGGUUCAUCAGGGCUGUUGGCUAUGGGGGAACUUAGGGUGCAUGGACAAAUUACAAGAUACUUAUAGAGGAUCUUAUGAGUAAAUUAGUCUUUAUAUGUUAGAUCAAAUAAUAAAUUGAUCUUUCUGUUAAAAUUUUUAUUCAUUUUUAUUGUUAAAAACUAGUUCCUAUAUGUUAACAUGAAGUACACACGGCUAUUCCGUCAACCACAACCGAUUUUUAAUAGAAGUGGAUGAAAUUUUUAAUAAUUUACUCUUUGAUCUAACAUAUAAAGAUUAAUUUAUCCAUUUUUAAGAAUAAGAAAUAAAAUACAAUUUAAUUCAUAGUACAAAGACUUUCAUAAUACUUUUACCCUCCGCACCAUAUUAAGAUAAGGUUUAUAACAUUAAAUAUUCAUGAAACGUGGGGGAAAAUGAAACAUUAAGAGAAUAUUUACUUCAAUACAACUAUGCAAAUAAUCUUUGACCAUUCACAAAUUGAAAAAACAACGAAGUUCCAAACGCUUCAUUCAAAGAUACAAUUCAAGAAAUAUGUGACUGAUGAAAAACACUAUAUUUUGUAUUUACAUUUUACUUUCACCAGCACUAUGAAACUGCAACCAUACGCCAAUCAUUUAACACAUUUUACAGCUGGCGAGGCAAUAAAACUAGUUAAUUCCACCUCAUUUACCAUGCCUUAUAUUCAAAAAGUAUUCUCACAGAGGAUCACAAAUCCAUUAAUAUUUGGAAACCUGUGAAUGAAGAUGCUCAAAUAUGAGAUUAAUAGGCUUGAAGUAAUGUAUGAAAAAUGAUUUUUUACCUUGUAACUUCUGAGGGGUUUUACUCAAAUGCACUGGCUACCAAUAUGAACUAUUGCAAACAUGUGAUGAUUCUAUCUAUGGUUUAUCAUACAUCCGAAUCAUGAUGUCAGUGCCGCCUUUCUGCGCUUCUUCUAAGGCGGAUUGCGCUCUCUCCCCUUUCAUCCUGAGGGAAUUCCAAGGUUUCAGUGAUGGAUAAAUCACUUGGAGGGAUAAAACAAUCAGCAGAAAGGCCUGGUAUGUUAAAGGCAACCUCUUCGAUCGUCCAAGUUUCUUCCAUCUUUGUUUUCGUAUGGUUCAUUGCAACUUCUCCAAACCUGAAAAGUGUAACGACCGUAUGUCCAGAAUGUGCUAUCAUGAUACCUUCGACAGGAUGGUAAUCUUCGAGAAAUGUAUUGAUUGUAGUUUCCCAAUAAACCGUAUCACCGCCAGUAGAUUGAACGCGAGUUAAAUGUGAAUCUUCCAUUUGAACAAGUAGUCCAGUCUUCUGACUGAAGUAGCCAAAUAAAACAUGCCUAAUGAUCUCCGCAGGGCCUUCACUUCUUGCCUUGAGUGUCCGAGGAUCGGCACAUAGCUUGAGGAUGAAGCAGUCUUCACCAUUAAUAUUUUUUUCUCCUAUGCAUCUUGCAUUAGCAAACAUGAUAGCUGUAGUUCUAGGGUCAAGACCCUAAAGCAGGAAUAUCAGAAAACCGAGAAGCAGCCAACGAACAACAAUCGAAUAAAGGGAGGAAAUUUCUCACCUGAAGUGCACGACGCAAGGGUCUAACCGGCCCCUUUGCGGUGUGUGCACCAAGCCAAGGUGUAUGCCUCCAUACAAGGUUCCCAUUACAACCAGCAUGAACCUUGAAGCCACUGACCGCAAGUUCGACAUACCACAUGUCCGGAUUCAUUUGCCAGAGUACAAACCAACCGGACUCGGCACUUCUAGAGACAUUACAGCUCUUAACAAUUCUCGUGGCAAUUUCGUAUUCACAAGCUACCAUUUUGAGCUUUCCCAUUGCAUACGCAUUCUUAAUGGAGCUUUGUAACUUUUGAACCCCAGUGGCAGCUAUAUACUGCUGCAAUAUGUAGUGAGCAGAGGAAGUUUCCUGCACACCAUACCACCAUACCGCAAUCAAUGGAAAAAGAAUAGAAAAAAGAAAAAUCAAUAAUGGGAAAAAUGACAGCAUUUUAGCACUUGAAAUAAGCAAGGAAUAAACCGUAAUAAUGAUCCCUGCAGCCGUUAAAACUCUGUUUUUGCACCUGAAAUUCUAAGUUCUAACAAUAUCUUUUGUAUCCAUCUGUUUGGAACCCAAGAAAAUUGUAUAUUUCUACAUGAAUUUUUGCAUUAAACAGGUAAUUAAAAAGAGAAAGAAUAAAAGGACUAACAAUGGGAGUAUCUUUGAUGCUCAAGUGAGGCAAAGGAUCAUUGGAGCUAACAUGAACUGGAGCUAAAGGGGCGCCCAUGAUUCCAAGCAACAGCCUUAGAUUAGACCUUCUGUGAUUCGUGGAAGUACAUAACUGUCCUUUAACCCAUUGUCCUAUCACCGACCCAACCCACUUCGGAUCCCCGGAUUUCUCUCGGUCCGGCUCCGGACCUUCCAUGAGAGGAGAUAACGCUUCCCCGACCGGCCUUUCACUCCCGGAUCUCGCCCUCAACGGUUCCAGUUGCACCACGUGAGCCCCGCCAUGGUGGUUGUCUUUGUUUCCACGUAACGUAGUGGACAUGAGUGAAAGGGGUCUUGCAGGGCUGUUGGACCGCGAGCGGGAAGGUGAAAGCCCGCGAACUAUAUCUUCUUUGAGAGCCGAGAGAAAACCUUGCUUUUUCUCCAUUACUGGCCUGGUUCUUUUUCCUUUCCUUAAAAAAUUCAAAAUAAAUAAGUUUCCUUCUCUGAUUUGGAGCUGAAUAAAAAAAAAAAAAAAACAGAGACAAGAAAAAGGGCGAAAGUAUUAGAGAGGAGAAGGUGAGUGCCCAAGUUCCUUCAUGAUUAUGGAGAGAGUGAGAACCCGAGAGCAGAGAUAUAUGCAUGUAUGCAUAAUAUUUGUCUUCUUUAUUCCAAAAAUUAGUAAAUUAGGCACUAUUCACUGAAUUAGUAAAUUAAAAUUAGUAAAAAUUAGGUCUAAUUGUUUAGUUAUUUUUAUUAGUGAUACCAAUUUUUAAUGGUAAAAAUUGAUAAAAUUCUUAACAAAAAUGAUCAAUUCACUCUUUAAUCUAAUAUACCGAAAUUAAUUUUUUCUUAUUUUUAAAUAGAGAGUAAAAUACAAUUAAACACUAGUACAGCAGCCUAGAACCAACAAGUGUUGGUGCAAUGAUAAGGCAUACUGCAUUUUUAAAUAAAGAAAAUCGACAUAAUGAUAUCUCAACAAAGAGACUAAUUUAAUUAUAAUAUGAAUUAUUGAUACUAAUUUAUGUUGCACCAUUGUUGAAAAAAUGUAAUAUUAAAAUCAUAUUUAUAUAAAAACUAAUCAACAAUUGAGUUAUUGUUAAAAUAGUAAAGUAUUUAUGAUUAAAUUUUAUUUAAAUAUUUCACAUAAAAAUAAUUUUAAAAAAUCAUUAUAUUAAAUAUUUAAUUUUUUAUUAAAUAAAGACUUUUAAGUAAUUUAUUUGAUCAAAUUGGUAUACAUUACCAAAUUUCAUAUAAAUAUAUAUAAUACAAAUAAUAAUUAGAAAUGAGAAUUUAUACAGUAUUAGGUGAGCCACUUUUUUUCCUUUUACGUUUAUAGAUUUAUAUACAAUAAAUUUUAUAUGUAUUAUUUUAUUAUUAUUUUGCAAUUAUAAAAUGAAAUAAUUAGUCGAUUGAAUAUUAAUUUUAUUAAUAUAGAUAUUAUUGUCAAUAUAGAAGGACUGCGUUCAAGUGCGCUGAAACGUAUUAUCUUUUUAUCUUUAGGUUAAAAAAACUUUAAAUAAUUCUAAAUAUUAGUUUAUGUAAAAAAAAGAUAAAAUAAAAAUAGGAAAUAAUUAAAAAUAUAUGAUAUGGCAGAGAAAAAUUGAGAAAUCCAAAGCAGAGUGUGAACAAACUAUAUAGGAAUGGUAUUGAAAUCUUAGUCGUAAAAUUAAAGCAAUAUCAUGACAUUGGUUAUCUUAGAUUUGGAACUUGUUGCUCUCACCAAACAAAUCCUUUGUCCAAUCAACAAAUUUCGUGAUGUCAUGAUGUGCCAAAAUCAAACUAAGUUCCAUGUUUUUUAAGUAAAGUCUCGUUUCUAAGUUACGUGGAUACAAAAAAAGUUUACUUAAGAGAGUUUACUUUAGAUUUAAGAAUUUAAUUUUUAGAUCUAAUCGAGACUUAAUAUAAAGUUAUAGCAUCUGGGAGGUUCAUAUAUUAUAGGGAUUGGAUUAAAUUAGUCUUUCUAUUGUUAAAUGAAUUAAUUUAGUCCGUAUACUAUUAAAAAUAAUCAAAUAAGUUUAACUUGUAACAAAAUUAACAUUUACUGUAUUUUUUUUUCAAUAGCAGUUCAAUUCUAAAUUAAAAGUUUAAUUUAUUGAUUAUUAUAUUCUUUUUAAUGGCAUAAGGAUUAAAUUGAUCUAUUUAAUAGUAAAAAGACUAAUUUGAUCAAGUCCCUAUAAUAUAAGAACCUCUCAAGUUCAUUCACACUAUUGAACAGAUUCCUUCCACCAAGCAUUUGAACGUGGUCUGAAUUUUGGAAUUAUCUUUGUUAGAAGAGUUUUAUUUGAAUAUCAUAUUCGGCCUAAACAAGGUUAAGCUUAGAUUGUAAAACGAACGAAGGCACCCGUAAUUAUAAGAAAAAGAUUUCAUUGUAUAAAUAUAAUUAUAACGGCUAAAUCAAAUUAAUUCCUUUAUUAUUAAAUGGAUCAAUUUAGUCCCUAUACUAUUUAAAAGAAUCAAAUAAAUCUAAAUUACAACAGAGUUAACAUUUACCGUAUAAAAAUGUCUUGAAUUUUUUUUUCAACUAUAAUGUAAUUCCAAAACAAAAAAAUUCAUUUACAAAACUAUAAAAACUUUAAAAAAAUAUUAACUCAAUUAAAAAGUAAAUGAUAUUUUUUAAGCAAUAAAUGUUAACUUUAUUUCAAUUUAAUCUUAUUCAAUUAUUUUUAACGGUACCAAAACUAAACUGAUUCAUUUAACAAUAAAAGGACUAAUUUGAUCGCAUCUAUAUUCACCUAUAAAAAUUUAACCCUUUUCAUUAAAUUGUAUUUGUACUCUUUUCGUAAAUAUUUUGAAUGCGUAGAUGAUGAAUGUAACAUUCCAUCCUCUACUUAUCUUUAAAUUCACAACACGUUAUAAUAAACACAUCUCACCUUUCACUUUUUUUUUUUCUUAAAAUUACUUUGCAACAACUUUUUUUACUGCAAAUUAUGUCAUUGAUUAUUGUUUGCAAGUAAUCAUAUUAUCAUUAUUACUUUGCUUUGCUUAAAAAAGUAUAGGGUAAAUUUUUAAAAUAGUCACUUUUAUUUUUCUCAAGUUAUAUUUUAGUCACUUAUGUUAAUAUAUUGUAACAUUUUAGUCAUUAAGUCGUUAAUUGCUGUUAACGGUGUAAUAGCAAACUGGCAUGGCACGUUAAUUAAUCAUUUCAAACAAAAAUUUUAGGUUAAAUUAUACAAUUGGUCCCCAUUUGUUUUUCGUUUUGAGUAAUUUUUUUCUUUUAUGUUCUUUUAAUUUUUUUUUCUUUAUUUUCCAUUCUCUUAUACUUCUCCUCUAUUUUCCUUCCUUCUCCAUCAUUUUUAACAUAAAAUGAAAAAUUAAAUUGCUCAAAACAAAAAAAAUAUAGGGACUAAUUAUAUAAUUUAACCUAAAAUUUUCAUUUGAAAUGAUGAUUUAACGUGUUAUGUCAGCUUACCGUUACACCGUUAACGACAAUUAACGAUCGGUGACUAAAGUGUUACAACAUGAUAACGUAAGUGACUAAAACGUAACAUUUUGAACAUAAAUAACUAAAAGAUAAUUGAGAAAAACAAAAAUGACUGUUUUAAUAGUUUACUCAAAAAUAUAUGUUUUAUAAUUAUUUGAUGUUGUUUUUAACUCUAUCCAUAAAUUUAAAGUUUCUAACAAAUUGACAGCUAUUUUUUUAUAAAUGUAAUAAAAAAUAUUUAAUAAAAUUUUAAAUUCAGAUGCGAAUAUUUAAAAAAGAUAGUAUGAGAAUUCCGUGUGUUGGCCUGAUGGUCAAGUGUUCACCACCUUAAAUGUGAUCUAGAUUCGAGUCGCGCUAAUUACAUUAUUAUUAAGGAUUUGCUCUCCAAUUGUAAUUAAAAAUAAUUGCUAUAAAUUGUCACCUUUAUUUCCCUUAUUUAUUUUAGUAAAUCCUAGUUGUCCAUUAAUUUUUUUCUUAAUAUGGUAUGUAAUUAUUAAUAUGUAACUUCAAAAGCAUUAUUUAUUUAUAAAUGAGAUUUUAUAAUUGAACUAAUGAUUACAUACCAUGUUAAGAAAUAUAAAUAUUUUAGAAACUAAUGGGAUGAAUUUUUGUUUUUUUUGGGGGUCUGGAGCAGUUUCAAAAUUUAUGGUUAAUAUCUAUUGUUCUGUUUUUUAUGUGGAAUUGUGGGGUAUUUUGGAUGGUCUAGGUCUUUUUAUUGAGUGAGGAUAUGACAAGGUGCUUAUUCAGUCUAAUGGUCUCGAGGCAAUCAUAGCUAUCCAGGUGAAUCCUCCAAAAGGGUCCAAUUCAUUCUUAAUUAGAUUAGGAGGAUCCAUCAGAUGUUAUCCUGGUUUAGAUAGUGGAACAUUAGACAAAUUUCUAAAGAGGAUAACAAAGAAGUUAAUCGCUUGGUUAAAUUGGUCCAACAUAUAUCAUAUAAUUUACUUUUGUUUGAGACUUUUCCGUUGUAGGGGAUAGUCUAGUUUUUGUAAUUAGUUUAGUUAUGCUAUUUUUUUCACAAAAAAAAAUCAUGAUCAACAUCUAUUCUAUUAACGAGCCUAUAGAAUGCGAAUGAUUAAUUGGUGAGCACGCUCCAGUAGAUACUUUGAAAAAUAAAAAUGAUAAUAAUAUUUUUUUAAUAUUCACACAUAGCUUGAAAUUGUAAUUAUUUUAUCAAAAGUGAGGUUUUUGUAUAUUUAAUAUUAAGCACAUUAUUACCCAAAUUUAUUCAUGGAUUAUAUACACAAAUAUGAAAAAAAAUUGGGAAAUUAGGUGGAUUUAUUCACCCAAAAUAAAAAUGUUUAUAGAAGAUUGAGUUAAGCUUGGAUAUACAUAUUUUUUUAUUUGAUUCGGUUUAAAUUAAAUUUGUCGAAACAUUGCAUAACAUGAUUAAUCUAAUCGAUCGACGUAUCUUAUUAAAAGAAAAUAUAGGUGAAUAAAAUUGUAUAUGAAUCGAUUGAGUUAAAUUUGACUACAAAUAAUUUAAUUAUUUGAUUUGAUUUAAACUAAAUUUGUCAGCAUGUUAGAUGGGAUGAUUAAUCCAAUCGAACGACGUAUCUAUUAAAAUAUAGACAAAAUAGAGGGAAAAAGAAGAGAGAAUUUAGGUGCACAAAAUUAUUUUAAAUAAAAUUGUUUAUGAAUCCAUCAAUUUAAAUUCAAGUCUUGAAUAAAUUCAAAUGGAAUAUGUCGAGCUAAAUGAUUAAUCGAAUCUAUAACCGUAUCUAGUACAGAUUAACUAAUUAAUCUAAAUAAAUUGUUUAUGGAUCGAUCGAAUUAAUAACGUUUAAAUGACUUUUUAUUUAAUCUAAUUUGUUGAAUCGUAUGCCCGUGCCUAACUAAAAUGUACCAAAAAAAGUAGACAAUUUCAUCUGAAAAAAAUUAAAAUUAUUGGAUUGGAUUAUCAACCUAACUUAUAGAUAAAUCGGUUUAAUUAAAUUCGAGUCGAAUAUCUAUAUUUAUUACAUGUACUAAAUUUAAAACUAAGACAAAACAACAAGGGGCAAAGAUCAAUAUCUGAAUAAUUAAAAUUUUUAUUUAUAAUUAUUUAAGGAUUUUGUUAUCAAAACGAAGGGCAAGUUUCAAUUUUUUUUAAUGCAUGAAAAGCUUAAACAUAACAUAAAUCAAAUAAUCAAACAACACUACUUCAAGCUUUAGCAUUUUUGGUUUCCUCGCCGUCUUCGGUCUUUACUGCCACAUUUUUGGGCGCCUCAAUUGGUGUCGAAGUUGCAGGUGGAGGAGGAGUUGGGACACGAUCCACCUUGGAUGGCAGUGCUUGAGUGGAAGGUGAAGAGUUGUUAAUCUCCGUUGCGUUGUAGGAUUCGAGAGUUAAGUUGUUGUCAAAAGACAUGAAAACAAACUGUAAGAGCUUCCUUUAGUGACGAUUGCAUCUUGAAGACAUAUUAAGAGGAAAGACAAGAAGAGAAUAAAAAGCAAAGAAGAUUUUGAUAUUUUCUUGCUUACAUAACACAAAUGAAAAAUAUAGACAUCAAAAUUUUAUAUAAAAAUAAUUUAAAAAAUAUUACAUCAAAUACACUAAAAAUAUUAAAAUAAAUUUUCUCAAUAAAUGAAAAAAAUUACAACAUGAAGAUUUUAUUAAAAAAUAAGGUACAAAAAUUACCUUGUAAUGUUAUUUUUUUCGAUAUUAUUUGUUUUAGUUAUUCAAUUCUUUUUUUAAUUUUAUAUCAAGUUUCUAUUCAUCCCAUUUUAACUUGUGUUCAUAUUUUUUCUUCUUCCAUAUUUUUAAUAUAUUUAUAUUAUAUUCAUGUUUUUGUUAUAAUUAUAAUCAUAUGUUAGAAUACAUAAACUUAUAUAUAACUUUCACAUGUUAAAUAUUUAGUAUAUAUUAAACUCCGUGUGUUGGUCUCAUAGUGUUCAUCGCCUUAAGUUUGGCCUAGGUUUGAGUCGCACUUGUCGUGUUGUUGUUAGGGCUUUACCCUUCUCUUGUAAUUCACCAAAAAAAUUAUUUGUUAUAUAUUUUUUUGACACAUUGUGCAAGCAUGUCGUAUUUAUAUUAUUUCCAUAAUGUAUUUUAUUUUUUAUAUAGUUUGUCCUAGUGAUUAAAUUAAAAGAUUAAAUUAAAAAUAAGUUUUAUGUUAUAUUUGUAUUGUAUUAUAUUUGAUAUAGUUUUUCACAAUAAUUCAAUUGUUUUAAAAAUGGCUUUUGUGUUUGUCUUCUGUUUUAAGUUAUUUGUACGGUUAAAAACUGACAUACCUAAGAAAUAACUAGUUAGUGACGUGGUGUGCCUCAUAUACGUCAUACUAAUGUACGAAAACCAAUUUUUAAGAGUAAAUAUGGAUGAAAUUUUUAACAGAAUGACUGCUUUGCUUUUUGAUUUAACGUAUAAUGACUAAUUUACUUAUUUUUAAUAAACGGAGAAAAAUACAAUCUGACUCUUAUUAUUGGGGCCUCCAUAAUAAUUUUAUUGGGAAAUAUUUAUUUUAAAUUUGAUUUUUUUGGUCCGUAGAGCUUAGGAUAAAUAUGUGGCAUGAAUAAGAAACGUGAAAAUAAAUAAAAACUAUAGCACGAUAUGAAUAUAAGAAUAUAAACCAUUAAUUUACAUAAAUAAUAUAUAUACAUGCGAGUUGUAAAAUUUAAGUGUGAUGUAAUCGAGGUUAUAGAAAAAAGGGAUGAAAAUACUAUAAAAGACCUUAUACUAGGAGUUAGAUUGUAUUUUACCCUCUCAACUAAAAAAUGAACAAAUUAAUCUUUGUAUAUUAGAUCAACAAGCAAAUUGACCAUUUCUGUUAAAAAUUUCAUCUAUUUGUACUAUUAAAAUUUGACAUGACUAACGAAAUAACCAAAUAGUAAUACAUGGUGAUACGAGCCUCAAAGUCCAAUUCCUUUUUUUGUAUGUUAGAUCAACAAGCCUUUUUUUAUUUACCUCAAGGCCCAAUAACAAAGUUAAAAACAAAGUAGAUCAAGCCAAGAUUGAACGAGAUUGCCCAAGACUUUGUUACAGGGGCGAAGCUAGAAAUUUUUUUUAGGGGGCCGGAUGAAAUUUUAAUUUUUUAUAGUUUAUAUUUUUAUAAUUUGUAAAUGAUUAAAUCGAUUUUUUAUAAUUUUUUUGGGGGGGCAAAGUGAAUUUUACCUUUACUAAUUUAAAAUUUUAAAAAAAAAAUUUAAGGGCCUAAAAUACAAUUUUACAUUUUAGAGGGGGCCGGGGCCAAUGCCAGCCCCCUGGCUACGCCCCUACUUUGUUACAAAGAACUUAGAAGCGCAUACGAGAAGAAAAGAAAAUCAAGAUUCACUUUCUUGUUUUCAAGAAAAUCAGGAAAUCGAAACUUGGUCAAAUUUUACUUUUUUGGGAGAUAUCAAGAAUCAAUAAAAUCAAGAUUUCAAAUAUUGGAAUUCUUGGUCCAAGAAACUGAUUCUUGAAGCCAAUGCACGAUGGAUCACAUUGUCGAGCUUGAACGAGCCAAUUUUGGGGCGCGAACGAAUCACAAUUUCAAGUUCUUGAAAAUCAACCCAUUUGGAUGUCCACAAGCCCAAUAUGAAAUUUGGAGAAGGACUUAGUUGAAUAUUUGACCAAAUUGUCAAAGUGUCCCAAUUUGUAAAUCUUUUAAUUUUUUUGUCCAAGUUUUAUUUAAUAAGUGGAUCAAUGUGUAAAAAAUCGGCUCAAUAAGCCCAUUACGAGCCUUUACUGAAUUUCCCAUCAAUUCCACAUUUAGACAUAUUUUUCACAUGUUAGUUAGUUACUGGAUGAGUUGUCAUGAUUAGUUAGCAUUUGAGAGGUUAUUAUAUUAUUCAUUUAUCCUUUGUUUAAAUAAAUACUCUUUCAAGGAUUGUUCUUAAAUUUUUUUUAGAAGAAGUUUUACCAAUCUUGUAGAUUGUGGGAACCAAUUGGAGGGGAGAUAAAAGAAGGGGGCUGUGAUUUCUUCGAUUUCAAGACUCCUUAGGACACCUAUCAUGCCAUUUUCAUCUUCUUCUUGCUUUCUUCUUUCUUUUGUUUAGGUUUCUGAUCGAUUCUUUUUCUUCUUGUUUUCAUUUUAAUCUUUAUUUGAUUCAAUUUCAUGUCAUGAACAGCUAAAAAUGACGUUUUCUCAUCAUUAUUCAUUAAGAAACACUAAAAAAUAUGAUAUCUCUUCUUUUCUUCUUGUGUUGAUUUUUUAAUUAUAAAAUAAUUUUAUUUUGGCUUAAAAAUUAGUUCGAAUAAAUCGUUUUGAUUGUUUUGUUUUAGAUUUGUUUCGAGGCUUUCUUAAAAUUCAAGAACGAUUUCAUUUCUUCCAAUAAACCCUAUUAAACUCAUUCUCGACUCUUCUUUGGCUUCCCUUCUCUUCUUUACUCUUUGAUUUUCUCUUUUCAUUCUUUUAAAUUCAAGAACUAAUCUGAUUUUGUUUCUUUGUUCUAAUCUGAAUCGGUCACCUAUUACCUCAGCAAAAUCGGUUCAAAUAUUCUCCAAUUUUUUGGAUCUUCAUCAUUCUUUGUUGGCCGCACCUUCCUUACCUAUUUUCUGGAAUUUUCAUUCGAUUUAAUACUUUUAUUUUUUCAAAUAUGUUCUUAUUAACCUAUUUUCUCAUCUUGGCAACCUUAAUUCAAAUGGAAUUCAUUAAAAACAAGUUCUUUCAAUAACUGACUUGAUUUCAUUUGCUACCCUUGUCAUUAUCAGAUCUAGCUAACUUGAUUUUUUGUAUUUCAGGUUGUUUCAAACACUAAGUUUUGCCUCAUUCGGUUUAGAGUUUUAGGUCAAAUUUGCGAUAAUUUUCAAUCUUAUUUCGUACGUGUCCGUAUCACAUGAUGUGUUACAUGUACUUCAUGUUAAUGUACAUGAAUCGAUUUUUAAUAGUAGGAAUUCAUGAUAGUGUUUAACAAAAGAACCAGUUUACUCAUUAAUCUAAGCUAAAUAGACUAAUUUACUCAUUUUUUUGAAAUAAAUAAAAUAAAAUACAAUCAAAUUCUUAAUACAUAACUUUUACCCAAACAAAUAUUAGUUCCACACCUCUAUAAAUCAAGCCCAAACUAAAAAUACUGAGGAUGUUUUUGGAUGGGCGAUGGGAUGUGGUGCGGUGCAUUUAGCCUACUUUUUGUUUCACAUUAAAAUAUUUUUACGGUAUCUAAUUUCAUCGCUACCGUUAUUUUUAGACUAACUGUAAGUAAAUGCAUUACCCAUCCAAACUCACUCUAAAUCACUAAAGCUAAAGGUGCACAUUAUGCCACAAUGAUCAUGAGAUUUAAGCUAAUUUGUUCCAAAAUAAUUCAACUAACAAAAAAGAAAUUGUUUUAUAUAAUUUAUUUGACAGUUACACAUAAGAGUUUGUUUUAACUUUGAAAUAUACAAAAGUAUUCGGAUUUUGAGAUUUUUAAGUUAGGAGUUUUGUUUUACAUGAAAAACAUUUAAAAUGUUAUUAUAAAAUUAAUUGAAAUAUAUUCAAAUUUGAAUUAAAAUAAAUUUGAAUAAAGUUUAUAUGUUAUGAGACUUAAAUUCGAACUCAUACAUACUUAAAUAUGCAUGAUGAAAUUAUUAAAAGUAUAUUAAUUUUAUAAAGCAACGCACAUUAUUUCGAGAACUAUUUUUAUCUUUUUUUAUAAUUUAUAUAAAAUGUAAAAAAAUAUAUAUACAUAUUAAAAUUUGAACACAAGAUAUCACAAUUUUCACCAUCUCAAUUUUACCAAUUCAAUCAAUAUUAUAUUAUUUUUUUAUUAUAUUUUUUUUCACUUACAAGUGUGUCAUAAUCUAGUAUUAAUUACACAUUUAAUUUAUCAAAUAUUAUAAUUAUAUAAUUAUACUUGUAAUUAAUUUUUGUAAUAACAAAUGAUUAAAAUAUGUUAUAACUCUUUGUACUUUUUGUAAAUUUGAAAUUUGGUCCUUUUAUUUUUCUAAUUACAAGAUCCAUGACCAAUUGUAAAUACUGUUACAAUUAUCUUGUUAAUUUCAUGUUCAUUAUAAUGUCAUUUUUUCAGUUAUAAUGCUACUAAGUGAAUAUUUUUUAUUUCAAAAUGUUACACUAAUAAAUUUAACAAAAAAAUUUAACAAUGUUAAUAAUUUAAGAUAAAAUUUAAAAUAUAAAAAAUAAAAAAGAUUAAAAUUUUAAAAAUAAAAAUACAAAAAAUAUAAAUUUAACUAAAAUCUAAAAUUCUGAAGAGUAGAAGGAGGUAUAUGUUAAACAUAAACUUGUCUAUGGGUCAGGUCGGGUCUUGAAAAUUUUUUAGGUAUUUUAGGUCUAUUUGAUAGGCUCAAGUCUAGUCUAGUCCACUAGUAUUAAAUUUUUUUACAUUAUUUUUUAAUAGUUUUUUUUAAAUGCAAUACAUUACAAACACUAAAAAAAUUAAAAUAAAUGUUUCUCAAUAAAUUAAAAAAUAAAUAAAUUAAUAGUAAAAUUAACAAUAAAAUAAAAAUUAUAAAAUAUCUAAACAUUAAUAAAAUAGUAAUAAUAUUUAAAUUUAUUUUUCGAAUUUAUAUUUUUAUUUAAACGUUUUCGGGGAAAGAGGAAUUAGGGGUAAAACUCUAAAACGGAAAAACUCAUGAAAAAGUAUCUUGAAAAGCUGACAGUGGGUGGGCCCAACCCAUUCAUGCGUUACAAUCUUAGUAGUAAAUAGUAAACUGAAAAUGUUGCCAUUUUGCAUUCGAUCUUCUUCUCUUUUUUUAUUUUUACUAUAUUGCCCAUCUGAUUCUCUAUUUCUUAUCUGUGUAAAAUUAAAGCAGCCAAUUCCAAUUAUUCAACAAAUCUUUUAAAAAACUAAAAAGAAAUUCAAACAAUUUCAUCUUUCUUUCUUCUUCUUCUUUAUGAAAAUCUAAAAUUUGCAGAGCUGGAUCGUUAUGGCUAUCAAAAUCCCAGCCUUAGGGUCAAUGUAAGUAUCUGUUUUUCCUUUCUAUCAAUUUUUUUUUUCAAAAAAAAAAGUUUAAAUCUAUUUCUUAAUUCUGUAGAUUACACUUUUAUCGUCUCAGUUACUGAUUGUUCCUUUUGGUAGGUUUUUAAUUUCUUCAUCGAAACCUAAAAUUUCUUGCUGGAAAUGAUGAAAUGUGAACAUGCAUGAUGCAAACUUAGUUAUUGAUUACUUCUUUAAUUUUCUAUUUUUAAAAUAAAAUAACUGUUGCGUUCUUCGUAAUUACUUUUUAUUUUUCCAAUGAAUUUGGUUGCAGAUACAUCGAGUCAUGCAGGAGGCAUGGUGUUGCACCGAGAACUGAAUUUUUAUCUGCGCUCUUUAAGGUUUGUCCCGAUACGUACUCAGAUUUUCAUGUUCGAAAAUGUUACGAAGUUGCAUGCAUAUUUGUUUGUUUCCAGUGCCUUGGAAUAAACUUUGAAUGUUGAGAAUUUAGACAAAAUGCGCUUGGAACUUCUGAUUAUUAGUCUAGGAGUCUCAAAUUGGCUUGCCAGGCUUGUGAUUCUUCUGAUCAUACAGUCAGGCUACCAGUGUAUUUCAAUUAGAGAGCUGAAAGUUCUUUACAGCUUCGUUGUCUUGUGAGAGUGGCAUUUUAGUUAUCCUGCUGAGAGUAGCAAGAAAUAUGUUUGGCAUCAUGCUUAAUAGUUCUAAGCUCUUUUUCUCAGACCUCUUUCAGGCGGUAGUAGGUAAGGAAGGAAUAAUUUCUGUUGUUCGGUAUAGUGCAGUUGAGAUGUUCUAGGAGUUGGAUUUUGGGGCUCAGUCUUAUUACAAAGUGUUUGAUUGUACAUAGUGCACCUUAUCAUCCAUCUAAAAGCUCAGGCGUGUUGUUUAUGCUUAGUUUAUCUAUAAUCAUGCAUGAAGUGAUGCUUCUAGGUGAAUCCUAACAAUGAAGGACUUAGUGAAGUGAAAAAGUUAUUUAGCUGGUUCUAUGGCUUACAAUUGAUCCAAAGACACAGAAAUUGGUUAGUUACAACUAAACAUGGUUAGUGAUGUUGAAUGAGUAAAGAAUACUCUAGAAACCCAAAGACCUUGAAGCACAUGCCUAAAAUGUUUGAUAAGUCUCGAAUAUGAAGAAAUAUCCAAAGCUCCCUAUAACUUCAACUCAGGUUAUUAACAUCCCAGUGUUUACGUAAUAAGCAUAGAAAUGUAAAAUGAAUAAUCCAAAUAAUGUAGUUCAAAGGACUGUUUUCUUCCUCUUUAUCAAAUGUGGCAAAUAGAGAUUGAUUUCUAUGGUUAAAUAUUGAUAAACACUGACUACAUCUUCAUAUCUCCUUGGAUUCCUUGAGCUGAAGAAACAUAAUUUUCCUUUGCUUAAAUAUUGAUAAACACUGACUACAUCUUCAUAUCUCCUUGGAUUCCUUGAGCUGAAGAAACAUAAUUUUCCUUUAUUUUUCAGUGUCUGUUAUAAUUAUUUUGCUGAUGUCUGUGCAAGUUAAAUUAGAUAAAUACCUUUGUCUUGGUUGAACUUUUCAGGCUGAUGUUAAAAAAUCCCGCCAUGAGUUAUGUGUACUGGAGAUUUUAUUGGACCAUGUGAAGGAUGUUGAUUUUCAUCCACUUCUUGAAGUGACUACAAGAAUUGGUGAUUCUGAGAUUGAAGCAGUUGAUGUGCUCAAUGAAUCAUCUUGUGCAUUGAAUGGAGAAUAUGCUUUAGUUCUGAUACGAUCUAUUGAUCAGAAACUUCGGAUAGUUGAUCUCCAGGAUUUGUCAUUUGGGAAGGACUUCUUGCGGUAUAAAACAGCGUUUAUUAUGCAUUAGUUUCCUUUAGUAAAGUAUCUGAUUUUAUANNNNNNNNNNNNNNNNNNNNNNNNNNNNNNNNNNNNNNNNNNNNNNNNNNNNNNNNNNNNNNNNNNNNNNNNNNNNNNNNNNNNNNNNNNNNNNNNNNNNNNNNNNNNNNNNNNNNNNNNNNNNNNNNNNNNNNNNNNNNNNNNNNNNNNNNNNNNNNNNNNNNNNNNNNNNNNNNNNNNNNNNNNNNNNNNNNNNNNNNNNNNNNNNNNNNNNNNNNNNNNNNNNNNNNNNNNNNNNNNNNNNNNNNNNNNNNNNNNNNNNNNNNNNNNNNNNNNNNNNNNNNNNNNNNNNNNNNNNNNNNNNNNNNNNNNNNNNNNNNNNNNNNNNNNNNNNNNNNNNNNNNNNNNNNNNNNNNNNNNNNNNNNNNNNNNNNNNNNNNNNNNNNNNNNNNNNNNNNNNNNNNNNNNNNNNNNNNNNNNNNNNNNNNNNNNNNNNNNNNNNNNNNNNNNNNNNNNNNNNNNNNNNNNNNNNNNNNNNNNNNNNNNNNNNNNNNNNNNNNCAUUUCAAAAUAAAGUAUUAUCUUAGACAUGGUUACCUCUCCCGGCAUAUUUUUCAAUUCUCGGUUUUUCAAUUUCACCAUUUAGAGAACUUGCCAAGAUCCAAAGCUAUAGUAGUUCAUGUAACUUUUUUGACAGUUGAGUCAUUUAAAAAUGUUUUGGUCAUUCCUUCUUGGUUUGCUCAUCUUCUUUUGGGUAUUCACAGGAGACAUAUGUCAAUUUUCCUUCUAGUUCAAGUGAUGAUGAAGAUUGGAGUGAUACCAUUGCACCAAGAAAAAGGAAGAGAUGUGCCGCAGGAGCCUCUUCAGCACCAGAAAAUGGAAAUGCUUCUUCAAGUAGGAGUCUGUCAAUAUCCGAAGGUUCAAAGCUGAAUCCAGAGCAUAAACUAAGGAGAAGCAUGCGCCACAACUCAAAUUUUAAGGAUACAAAUUUAUCCCCUGCUGAAUUAAAGGGUGGCACUUCUGGAUCGGGUUCAAGUGAUAAAAAAGCAGGUUCAUCAACACAUAGAAGACUCGGAGAAACUGAAAAGCAGGUAUAUAGGGUGUCUUAUACGACUGAUAAAUGACUCUGAACGAAAACCAAACAUUUGUAUAAUCAAAGCUUUUUUGCUUGUGAAAAAGUAGUGAUCAACUUGAUUAAUACUUCGUAUCUUUGUCUUCUAAAAAUAUAGUGAUUUAAUUUGGGUGGAUAUUUUGGUGUGUAGAGGCUUUGUGAAUCGUUCAGGGAAAAUCAGUAUCCUGAUCGAGCCACGAAAGAGAGAUUAGGUAAAGAGCUCGAUAUGACUUUCCGGCAGGUAUUACCUUUCUCUACUUGCAAUGCAACUAAAUGCCAUAUUUUCUGAACUAUCUCAUUUUCUUUUCUUGAGAAUCUUAAUGUUGUUGGUUUAAUUUCGGGGUUCUUAUUCGUGAAGGUCAGCAAAUGGUUUGAAAAUGCUCGUUGGAGCUUCAAUCAUCCAACAUCUAAUCAGGAAACCGCAGCUAAAAGAGUUGCAGAAAAUGCCAUAGCCUCUGCUUUUCUGAAGAAAAACUGAAUGAUCGGCAUCGUAGAGAGGGAGAAAGAGAGAAAUCAAAAUUGGUGAAAUGGAGAGGUAUUGAGACAGUUGAUUUAUAUAGCUUUAAAUUUAAUGAACAUUAUAGGAUAGGAAUAGAAGGAACUCUGUUGCUCGAGGAAAAUUUGCAGUGAAAUGUUGUGACCCUUAUCCAAAUAGAUAUUUAAAUGCUUUAUUUUUCAAAUCUCUGUUUUAAUUAAUUUUUUAUAUAGGUUUCUUUUUCAGGAUUUUUUUUUUUAAAGAAUGAAUGAAUGUAAAUAAGGGUGAUCGAGUGAAAAUUUUGCUAAUUCAGUUGAAUUUUAUUUUACCAUUUUAACUUGGUUUGAGUUAAAUUAAAAAAUUAAACAUGUUAGAUUAAAAUAUUAUUACAAUAUAACUAAUUUCAUGUUAAAUGACAAAUUUAAAAAAAAAUUUAAAGCAAAAUAAUAAUAAAAAAUAAUUUGGCAUGAUAAACUUGAAUCACUAAUUAACCUAUUUAGCUUCUAAAAGUAUUAUUUUAGAAAUUUUAGAACAUUUCAACUUUCUUUAUAUUCUUUAGUUUUUUCUUUAAAAUUAUAAUUUUUUAAAAAUAUAAUUUUUAGAACUUUUAUUAAUAUUUAGAAUCUUUAAAAUUAUUUUGAAUUUUUGAAAAUUAUUUUAACAUUUUUUGUAAUUUUUGUUGAGAGAUCAAUUUGUCCAUUUUAAAAUUAACAAAGACUAAAAAAAUACUUACACCAAUAUCUUAUUUGAGUUAUUUAAAAUUCAUCUCGACUCGAAUUUAAAACUUGAAUAACUCAAAAUUUGAAUAAAAGUUUAAAUAAAAAAAAAUCAAGUUCAUCAAUUUGAUAAAGAUUAUGCAUAUCAAAUUAAACUUUUUUCUUACUCCUGGAUUAGGUAAAGUCCUGAAGAAUAGACCACAACUUGGAAUUCAAAUUAAUGGUUCUUCAAUUGCAAUGCAAACGCGUCGGUCAAAUAGGUCAUGCCGCAAGAACAGCCUUUGCUCAUUUGAGCCACCCAUGUGAUGAGAGAAGCAUCAAAACCGAAAAGGCAUAAUUCACUAUGUGCAUAUGAAACGUAAAAAACAUAAGCACAAUAAUUAUAAAACAAAAUAUUAUGUUAAAGCUAUCAAUAACAUGUAGUCAAGCAUCACAAACCAAAGGAAUUGAUGAUCAACUGGAGUAAAAAUCUAAAUGUGCUUAACAAGGCGAUCAUAUAAGAGAAUUACAGGUUUCUUCCUUCCAGUAUCGUAAAUAGAAAACAUGUCUUUUUUUAUUGAGAUUUUUCUAAUCAGACGACUUAAGCCUCUGGUUCCCCACAGUAACAAACUAAUCUUCGACAUCCAAUUGCACUCUGCUGUGCUCAUCCAUGGCCUUUCAAGUACCUGCAAUGAAAAUUCGUGAAGUUAUCUGCACAAGGUUUUCGAUCACUUUGGAUAGAGCUGUUAGCCACAGCUUGCUUCAUUGAAUUUAUUUCAUGUGAACAAAUGUUAUUCGACCAAAAAUCAUAAUUCAAGAUUGAAUUUUACUUGCAUGCAAGAAACAGAAAGCACAAAUCUUAGAAACUCAAGUCUGAGAAAAAUACCCACAAACAAAGGAACAAAACUAUAGGAAGGUUCCCGAUAGUUGCAAUAAGCUAGCAAAGUGCUUUAAGUGAUCACCUUAAGCAAAAUCACAAGCAAAACAGUCACAUUGUUGUUCUAACUAACGAGUUUCAGGGGGUAGUGCAUUCAAUGAGUAUGAAUUCUUAAUGAACUGGAUAUCUAAUAUUUGAGGUCAGAGAACAAGGGCACUAAAUACCAUUGACGGUAUGCAACAUUGACAAGAUGUUCCAUUGACAACAUUCCAACCAUUUCCAACAUUUGACAGUAUGCAAUGCAAAAAUGACAUUCGGUUUAACUACAAGGUACUACACCACCAGUAUGAAUUUCUACAGCAUAUGAAUGAUCAAAUAUUUGAACAGCUAAAGUGAAACAAGGAACGGUUCCAAUUCUUCAUUUGUUUCAAAGAAUCUGUGUUUUGACACAUUAUGAGAAUUCAUCCUCUAAAUUUAAGAAAAAAUUUAGCAUAGCUGCGUUAGUAUCUGAUACCAAGCGCUUGAGUCUAACAUGGGUAAAGACUUACUCUUUUAUUGUAGUUUAACACAAAGAAAAAAGUUUGGUGCAAUAAUAAAAAGAUUACAUAUAUAUAAAUAUAUCCAGUAAUGAUAAGCAAGAAAACAUGACUUAAAUCUGAGUACAGUAGCAUCGCCAAGAAGAAUUAAAAGGGAACUGACCAUAUCUAGAUCACUACUCGUGUUGAGGAUCCUAGUUAUUAAAUGGCAUUUUAUAAUGAUUUAUUUAACAAGGAAAUGCUAGGUCUUUAGACCCAUUUCUUUUCUCAUAUAGCCUAUACAACAGCAGCAUAGAAUGACCAACAUAUUAGAGCUAGUUAUUAAGAGCCAAAAAGAGAAAAAAGAGAGGUUAAAACAUGUCAAGCAUAGGAGCAGUUAAAUCCAUGUGCCUUAGCUUAUAUCCAAGGGUUUAUUUUCUAUUUACUCUAUAUGAAUUAUUGAUUAAGCACAUUUGUCUAUAAUUUCAUAAUAAAAGGUAAAAUAAAAAUAAGAAAAAUAUAAACCUACAAUGUGGUACAAUUCUCUCUCCUUUAGCUGAUUGAAAGUCCACGUGCAUCACCCAUCUUUUCCAUUCCUCCCUAUAAAUCUCAAUCCCAUUUCCUUCUCAUUAACUGAAUUUAAAGAACUCAACUAACAAAUGCACCUAAUCUAUGCUUGUUUAGGUAAAUUUAACACAAAAGAUAUAAAGCAACUAUAAAGAAAAGCAAGUGUUUUUCUUUUGUCCUAACAAUGGCAUUCAUUAUAAAGCAAUUAUCAAAAAAAGGAAAAUAAUUGAAGUUAUUCAAGUUUCAAGAGAUGUGAAUAACAAACUUCCUUUUCCUUUUCAUGUACCCUAGAAAUAGCAAGACUCACAAAGAGACUACUAGCGAUCCUGACAAGUACGGCAGAAGGUACCGUGAGACAGCUCGCAACAAGCCCGCACGUUAACAGUCAGGUGUGACGUGAGACAAGCCGUAGGAACCAUGCUAUGCAGAGGCAAGAAUGAUUGGACACAUCCCAAUUCUCCCAAAUUUCUGAAACAAACAUAAGGCUAGCCAAAAUCAAUUUUGACAUCCAAGCUUCCUUUUGUCAAUGGGAAAAUGUCAGCAAACUAUGAAACUUUUUUUCAUACAAAAUAGUCUCUUGUAUGAUUCUCACUAAUCCAUACCGCCUUAGAAAUUUAAGAACCUAUUUAAUCUUGGGAAAAUUUAAGGCAAAAGGCAAGAAUAUUUUAGCUUCCCUUGAAAACAGAGAAAAUAGUAACUCUACUUUAAUCUAGUUUUCAGAUUUAAAAAUGAAAGUCCAAUUGUUAACAUCAUUAAAAUGAUUCCAUUAAGUUUAGGUUACAAAGGUUUUUUUUGGUUAUAUGAAUACCAAGCAAGUAUUUUUUUUUUUAAUUUCAAAAUGUCACACAAUGGAAUUUAACAGAAGCAUUUUAACUGUUUUGACAACUGGACUUCAAUUUUGAAAUCUGAAAAGUAGAGAUACUAAAUUCCAAAUGUACAAAAAGUAAAGGGACCUGGAGCAUAUUUUAACCUAAUUGAAUAUAACAAGAAUAAAGUCAUCAGUAAAAUUACUCUGCCAAAUCCCAAAUAAUGAAGAUUGUAAAUAAUUUCAAAAACACAUCAUGAAUUGGAUAUCGCAGUCUAUAAAUCUCCACUAACAGACAUUUCUAAUAAUUUAUAGUAAUAAAAAAAGAUGAAAAGAAAACAAUGUUGACUGGAAAAUAAGCAAUUUUGCGUUUCUUAUCUUUCGUUUCAUCCACUAAGGAGUCAAAAGAGGUGUUUAAAACAAUGACCUGGAAGGAGCAUAAGAGAGGCGGCGGGACUGGUGGCGAGGAGCAGAGGAAACCGAGGGACGUAGCCGGGGUAGCGGUGGAGGGGAGCGGAGUGAAGGAGCCCUCGCGGCAGAGAUGACAGAGCGAGACAAGGAUCCUGCACUUCGCCAAGCCAUUUUCACAGUGAAGAUUGAAGCGUUUCGGUAAGAGAGAAGCUGAAUAAAGUAGUGAUUUGCGUAAAGGUUUUGGUUAGGGUUUAAGGGGUGUGCCUGUAUCCAUGAUUCGGGUCGGAUCCUUUUCGGAUGGGUCUAUGUAUGUAGUCUUUUAAGCCCGGCCCAUUCAGAAAUAUGUGUUAUAGAGUUUAACUAAAUUUAGAGUCCGUUUAUUUACAUGUAAAAAAUUUUAUAGAAAAUAUUUUUUACAUUUUAUUGUGUUUGUUUUAUAGAAAAUAGUUUGUUUAAUGGAAAAUAAGUUACAAGUCAAGGUAAAAUAAUAAGCCUUUUUCCUGUAAAUUUUUCGGAAAAGAGCUGUCUAUAAAUAAUUUUUUUUUAUAAAAAUUAACUUAAAUCAAGCUUAAUAUUAUUAUAUUAAUAAUAAAUUUUAUUUUUAUUUUUAAAAAUAUGUAAAAUAUUAUAUUUUUCAAUGUUAUUAAACAUAUAUAUUUUAUUAUUUAUAUUUAGUCUUAUAAUAAAUUAUUAAUAUAAUAAAUAUAAUUUAUUAUUUUAAUAAAUUAUUUAAUAUUUUAAUUUUAUUUUAAUAAUAAAUUUUAAAAUAAAAAAUUAAAUAAUAUUAUUCAAAUAUUAUUUAAAAUAUUCAAUUAUUAAUAUUUUAAUAAUAAAUAUUUAUUAUAAUUAUAAAUAUAUUAAUAAUAAAUGUUUUGUAGUAUAAAGGUUAAAAUAUGUCAUAAGUCUAUGUACACUUUACAGAUUUGUAAUUUAGUCUUUGUACUUUUAUUUUCAAGAAUUUAGUCCCUUUACUUUUCAAAUUUAAAAAUCAAGUCUAAUUGUUGUCAUCGUUAAUUUUUUUUUGUCAAUUUUGUUGAUGUCACAUUUUUAAAUAAAAAAAUACUUACUUAGUAGUUAUGUAAUUAAAAAAUGACGUUGUAAUGAAUCUAAAUUUAACAGAAUAUUUUUAAAAUAUGCAAAAAUAAUGUAAAAUAUAAAAUUAUAGAUAAAAGUAAAUUCAAUUAAACAAUGAAAAAUAAGAAAAUUUCAAAUGUAUGUUUGUUUAAUUGAAAAUAACUUUUAUGAAAUAUUUUUAAGAAAUCUACCAAAUAACAGAAAAUAUUUUACACAGAUUCAUCCAAACACCAGAAAAUAUUAGCUUUUCUAAUAAAGUAAAUCAUUUUCCAGAAAUCAUUUUCUGGAAAUCAUUUUCAGUGAAACAAACGCAGCCUUAUUUGAAAAUAUGCUAUUUUUUAAUAUCUUUAUUUAUUAAAAUUUUAAAAUACAUUAAAAUUUUCAAAAUUUACAAUAUAGUACUAUAUUUUUAAUUUUCAUGUAAUAUAAAUUAUAUAAUAUGUAAAAUAAAAUAAAAUAAUAACAAGAUAAAUAAAAUAUUAUUAUAAACCAAAGACAAACCUAUUUUCUAAUGGGUUUAAUUCUUUUUCUAUACACUUUUUGCUUUUUUUUUAUAUAGAGCCUAAAAUUAUUCAUAAUCUCAUAUACUCGAAUUCACGAUCUCAUGUACUGACAAUAGUACUAAUACCAAUCGAGUUAACAUUCAAUCGGUUUUUCUAUACUAUUUUUUAGUAUAUUAAAAUUUUCUAAAUCUUCUCAAAUGUUAAAUUAGUUAACAAAUAUAUUAAAUUAAUAAAGGAGCUUAGAUGCAUAAUUUGACUCUUAAACAAAAUUACAAAACUAACUUAAAAGAAGUACGAAAUUAUUGAAAAAUUAAAGAAAAUCUUGUGAACAACCCAAGGCUUAAAUUACUUGGGCCCAAAUCUAUUAGCAUAUGUUAACCAUUGUAGGAAUCUCCCAGCCGAAGUGUGCUAAACAUUAUUUCUUUGUAUAUGAGGACAUGGAUUCCAAUAUUUGGCGGAGAAAGUGUAGCCAUGGAUGGACUUGCAUAUUAAUAAUCUAUAGAGAGAAGUCAUAAAAAUACAACUCAUUUGCUAUUUGAUUCUUUGGUUGUAAUUAAUAAUAUAUCAUAAUUUAUUAUGAUAACAUUCGUUACAUUUAUAAUAAUAAUAAAUGAUAAUAUAAAAAAAUGUAUUUAAAAUCAAAAUUUAAAUCUUAAAAAUCAAAGCUUUAAAGGUUAGAUUUUAGUAAUCCGUGUGAUACGAUGCAAUUGUGCUAGCCAAGGAAGACCUCUACUAUAAAUUAGUUGUUUAUUACUUCAAUUUAUACACAAAGAAAGAAAGUUACAUAUAAAAAGGUGGAGUCUGGAUGAACGGUUGGGUUUUAAUUUGUUUUUUGUUCUGUACUACAAUAUUAUUAUAAUAUUUAAUCUCACCACUAUUAUUAUUUUUACACUAAUUACAAGUAAAAUGCGACAAAUGAACCGAAAGGUUCACUAUAAUUUUUACAAGCUUUUAAGAUCUCUAUUUUAUUUUCCGGGCGGGAUUAAUGGCAAAUCAACUUCAUCACACCAUUCAACACACCUUGUUUCCACAUAAGAACUCCUCACAUUAUUAGGCCAAUAACUCAACCAAACUUCACCUCCAAUUCUCCAUUUCAGAACACUCCCUUCCAUGUCCCUGUUCAAUCUCCAUCCUACACCUUCUCCAUAAUCAUCUCCUGCAAAUACCAAUCCACCAGCUUUGGUAAAUGGCCUGUUAGCUCCAUAGUACCUAUGCUGGAAACCAUGGCUGCUGCCGUUGCUAUUUUGAUCGAACGAUUUCCACGUUGCGAUUUCGUGGCCCGUCACGUUGUCGCAUAGCACCGCGUCGAACACCGCGGCGUUCCCUUCCGCGUCUUGAUCCCACCUCCAGUUUUUCAUCUUGUUCUUCAUGGAAACCCUUGCUCUUGCUUUAACAUGGGAGGAAUCCUUUGAAUAUUUCCCGAAUCUCCCUUUAAGGAUCCUUUGUGUUUCGACUUCGUUUUCACCAUUGUUCGUGGACCGACCCAAGGUUAACCCGGACACGUACGUUGACCCGACUUCCGGUCCGACCCAAACUCGGAUCCUCGACGGGAAGUGUUUCUCGUUCAAGAAAUCAUCCAUUUCGUCGUUUUUUUUGCUGAACCCUAGUCUGGCCACGUGGAAGCGUAAGUUAUCGACACGUGCGUUCACUUGAAUGUACCCAUCAUGGAAUCCAAUGGUGUAUUCCAAUUGAAUGACGGCCUCGAGCUGCUGGUGUGCGAGUGCGUACCUUAACAGUGAACCCUUUGCUCCGGUGGCCGGAAAUUGGCUUUUCUGAUCACUUGAAUGUAAUAGCUUCAUUGCAUUAACCGGUGCAUACCCUUUCAAGGUCCAAAAUCCAUGAGCCUCGGUUGCAUAUGAAAAUCCCAAGUGCUGCUGCUGCCCUUUUAAAGGAGUUAUUAGCGUUUUUAAUCCAACGCUGAGUUCACUUAAAAUGAUCCAUUUGGUCAACAUGUACCCCAAGGUUCGCAUGAAACACAGCUCGGUGUCGACACCAAUGGAGACCAGAAAGGUCCUCAGCACGGGGACUUGUUUAAACGUUAAUGCUUCGAUGUUUGGACCUAGUAAGUAUUGGAAAUAGAAAGACCCGAUUUCACUAGGAGCAUCCCAAGAACAUAGCCAAAACAAGCGUGUGAGAAGGACAAGGUUAAAGAAACUCGAGAAUGAUUCGGGUGAGUGAGACUCAAUGAUCCAAGAAAUGGGUUCGGGUUUGAGUUUUUGAAGCUGAGACCUCGGGCAAAUGGUGUUGGGCAUUGCUGGUGAACGGCUGAUGGUUUCUUGGAGAAGCUGAAGUACUAAAGGGAGGAAAGGUUGCUCUGAAGAUAGAGAACAGGGGUCAGAGACCCAAAGAGGUGAAGAUUGGAACCCUUGGAAGCUUAUUGUGAAGGUUAUACAGACCUCUGAAUCGGACCCCAUGGUACGCUCGGCUUUGAGUUGGAUCGAACGAGUUGAGCUUGAGUCGCCUUCCUCAGAACUCGCCAUUGUAAAGGCGAGCGGUGGAUGUGGGUCUGAUUCACCCCAAUCGUCAUUGUUAGGAGGCUCACAUAUCCAAGACCAAAUGUCCAUUAUGUUUGCUUGGUGGGUUUCAGCCUCUGGGAUAUCAAAAGAUUGGAGACCUAUUGUUUCGUUUUAUAGAGAGAGAUUCAUGAUGUUGUUAGGAAUCGGGUAAAUUGCACUUGAAGUCCCUUAUGGUGUAGAUUUUAAAUUGCUUUCUAAAUUUUAAAUGUUUAUAUUAGUAUCAUAUCAAUCAAAUUCUUCCAUAAGUCUAUUGUCAUAUUAGAUGUUAAAUUCUAAAUACAUAUAGACUUGUUGCAUAAAUAGUUUGGAUAUAACGUUUAGAAAAAAAAAAAGAGUAUUUAAAAUUUGGAAGAGUUAUUUUUCUUUAACAUGGUAGAUCAUGUGGUAAGUAUCAUAUUUAAAGUUUAAUUCAUGUAUUUUAAAUAUACUUCAUGUGUGGAGAAACCAAGAAUUAUGUGAUGAGAACCGAGAUAAAAUAAAAAAAAUUUGGGGGCAUAGCUAAAGUAACUUGUAUUGAAAUGACUUAAAUUGAAUUUUAAACUUUUGAUAAGAGUAAAAAAUGCAAAUUAUUUUUAUUUAAUAAAGAAGCUAAAAGAGAUUAACAAUUGGAAGAACUAAGGUUGCAAAUGUACCAUUCAGCCUAAGGCCCUUGCCUCCACCUUAGGGUAAAAUCUAGGCUGACAAGAAGACCUUAUUGCAAUAAGUAUUAAUACUCUGAGAUGUAUGAUGCAAUUAUCCCUUAAAAUUUUAAGGAAAGAAUGAGUGAUGGUAGAUUCGCCAACUUGCAAGUAAAUGUAAGCCAUGAAAAUCACCAAUGAAAGAACUGCCUGGAAUUAAACUGGUGGUGCUAAGUUGUUUGGUCGUUAUGUCUUAUUUAAUACUAGUAUACUAUAGCGCUGAUUUUUCAUUCACUCCCUUUCAUUUAUUUCAAUUUCUGGCUUUUGACGGCCUGAUAAGGAAAGCAAUGGUGAUUUUGCAAAGGACAAUACGUUGCAGAUCCCGACGCCGUCGUUUAACGUUUUAUGGAUGUAUCGACCUAGACGUGUCAUGUUCAAAGGCGGAACUGGACAAGUUUACAUGUCUGAAUUUGAAUCACACAAAAAAGAAAAAAAAAAUCCGGGGUCGUUUAAUGUCUGUUCUUUCUUAUCCUAUCAAUGCUUAUGAAUAUCUUUGAGAAUCAUAGGUUAACAACAAGUGAUUGAAACCCUAGCAACGAAAUGAAAACAUAACCAAAACAUACAAACACGUAAUAAGGCCAUGUAGGCCACCCUGGCCAUGCAUUUAGUUUGUUUUGUAUCCCCACUAGUGAGAGCAAUGUCUGAGUGGUCCUUUAACCUAGAUGAGCCCCACAAGCUGUCACCAUUUUUUCAAUGAGUAAAUUUAUGUAGGGGAUCCCUCUAGGCUUUACCAUAAAGGAUGUUUUUCCUUAAAGCAAUAUUUCUUUCCCAACAUUUCUCCAAUAAGCAAAUUUGUUGGGUUGGAUAAAGCUUCCAUUCUCGCUUGCCUAGUAGAGGUUGGUUUACCCCACUCUUUCUUUUAAAACAUAGACCACUUCUGGUUUUAGGGACACAUAGUUUGUCUCAACUCUUGAGUUGUAGUAUCCAUUUUAUCAUAGAUAGUGUUAGAAACGAGAUAGGUGAUAAAUUAGAAUUUUUAUUAUCUUUAAAUUGAAUUAUAAAUUUUUUGAGAAUAGGGAGAGGCUUUGUCUACCCUAAUUAAAUUUCAUGGCCUAAAGAAAACCUCAAUCAGCUCAAUUUAGAUUGUCCAGUCCAAAUAAAAAAUUAAUUAAACAAAAAGAGAUAAAAGAUCAAAAUUAUAUAUUAACUUUGAUUCAAUAUGUAAUAUCAUAUAUAAACUUUGAUUUGUGCGAUUUUAUAUAUGAAAUUUUGGUUUCAUAAAUCACUGACAACAUUAUCAAAUUAGUACUAUUUUACGUUGAUAUAUUGCAUACACAAACAAUCAUAUUAAUCCAAUAUGAAAAUAAAAGUAUGCAUUCAUUUCUUUAAACAUGCACAGUUGAACAAAAAUAAAAAUUUCAUGUAUACAUAUAAACAACAAUUCAAGUUUCAUAUGUAUAAUUGUACCAAAUCAAAGUUCAAGUAUCAAAUUGCAUAUUAGACCAAAAUUCAUGUAUAAAUUUAAUAUUUAUCCAUUAAAAAAACAAAUUCUAAACUAAACUAACUAAAAGUAGAGUAUGUUGUUCGCAUUAUGUCCAGCGCAUUUACCUUGAAUGAGCAAUCAGAAAACCAAAUCUUUGAUGAAAAAAAUGUAAUAGAAUUUGAUCAUAAAACCUUUUAAAUUCAGUGGUAUGAACAAGGUCUCCUUUUGUUUGGUUUUAAAUCCAAAGGAAACCAAAAUAAUAAUAUAAAGAAGAUGAAGAAAUAAUAUAAGAACGUAGCUUUAAAAAGUAAUAGAAAUAAUGGUUUUCUUGAAAAAAGAAAGGAAUAUAGUUUUGGUAACUAAAGUCUCAAUCGGGUCCCUAUUUUCUUUUCUUGAAAAAAGACCCUUGACUUGACAUCAGGGCUUAGGGCGUUCAUGGGACGUAUACCAAAGGCUACUGCUUCAAGGUUCAAAAAAAAAUUGUAUAAAAUUAUAAUUCUACGUCAUCUUUAUUCUUUUUUAAUAGGAGAAUGAUAAAUCAUAUUUUUCCUCUUGAUUUUCAGUAUUUUUAAUUAGAUUUGAAUUAUUUUAGGAGGAAAAAGUUAAAAAUUAAGACAAAAAAUCUGAUUUGUCAUUCUCCUAUUGCAAAGGGAUAAGAAUGAUGUAGAAUCACAGUUUUAUACAAUCUCUCAUUCUGCUUCAAUCUCUUUGUAAACUUAAAUUAUCCCUAAUAUUUAAAACAUUCUAAUUAAAAUUUUUAAGUAUUAACAUCGUGUUAAUUAGGUCUUUUUAUCGGCCAAAUGUAAUUUAGUUGAUAAGUAUCAAAUCGGAUAUGAUUUGAAGCAUAUUUAAAACAAGUAGAUCAAUUUUAAAUAGGUUACUUAUUAAGAAAAAAAACAGUGUUAUUAAAUUUAGGAGGAUUAUUUCUUUCUUUUAACAUAUUACAGGUUGUUCAUGCGAUAGAUAUACAUAAAUUUAAAAUUUGAUCCGUGUAUUCUAAAUGUGCUUCAUAUCAAAUUUGAAUUAACAUUUAACACCUAAGUUGAUGGUUAAAUUGACGAACUGAUUGAUACAAUAUUGAUGAUACUUUAAGGAUUUAAUUAGAAUAUUUCCAACUUUAAAAACUAAUUUGAAGUUUAUAUCAUAUCGUAGGAGCAUUUAGUACAAUUAAUUUUUUUUCAUUUUUAAUUUUAAAUAAAUAUAGAUUAAAUAAGAACUAAGAUAUAGAUGGAGAAUGGGGAUAGCUAGGAACUUUUGAAAAAGGUUGUUUGGUAUAUUUUAUGUUGGUCUUGUCGUAUAUAUUUAGAUUUUGUGGCUGUUUUUUUUUUAAUGUCAUUUUUAAAGUUUGAAUUUAUAUUCUUUUCUUAAGAGUAUAAUAUAUCUUACUAUUAUGCCCAACACUUGUUGAUAAGUAUUUUUAAAAUUUAGACAUGAUUCCUACUAAUAAUUUUGAUGAACCAUUAUUUCUAUAAUUUUUUUUUAUAAGAGACAACAAAUUUUACUUUACAUUUGUAUAUACAUCACAAAUUCAAUAAGAUUAUUUUUGUUGCAUUGGUAUCAGAAAUACUUAGAAGUUCCCAUAUUAAAAAUUAAGAGGUAAAUUCAAAUAUAUAUUUUCUAAAAAAUAAUGAGAUAUGAAACAAAGAGAUCUCUUUGAGUAAUUGAAAUUGAAAAAAAAAAUGGUGGUUAAUGUGGAUUCUCUCAGGAGCUUUGAACGAUUGGGGUUGCCGCUGUCGGUGGACCUUGAAAAAGCCACUAACAGGGUAAAAAAUAGAGAGGAUAUAGUGGAGGUAAAUAAGAUGGAACAAGAAAUUUGAAAGCUACUUUCAAAGAGAAGUUCAUGAGCAACUCAAAGGAAUCUGAUGCGGAGGAAAAUGGUGAAGAGAAUGGUGAGAUCUCUCUUAUUGAAGAUGAUGUUUAGGUUUUAAUGAAGGGCUAAUAUCCUGAGAUCAAUUUCUCUGAACGAGUGCAUGAGUUGACUGAUCGGAGUAUGAGUCUUACUAUUAUUGUAACACUCUUCACCAUUCUCUGUCACCAGAUUAGGGUUACAAGAUGCUAAAAUGCAUAACAAAAGAAAAUUGUGCUAUAUCAAUUCAUAUUUUCUCUAAACAAUAAUCAUACAUCAGUCAUGUAAUUAAAAACAUGUCAUUCAUACAUUAUUGGGGUUAAAUCGGGCUUAAGGAAGCUCUAAAACAAUUUCAGAACACAGCAAUGAUUAAUUUGAAACAUUUCAAAAAAUUUUGACAAAAAUACAAAAUAGGGACAGGUUGAGGCUGUGUGGAGUUGAACCACCUAGUUGUGUCCCCAAACCAUGUAAUGUGUGUGUCUUUGUUUGUGGUAUUACGCAAGGAGAGAAAUUGAAGUCAUGGUUAAAUAAGCCUCUUAUGUUGAUUCCUAAGGUUGAGGGAUCAACGAUGUUUCAACAAUUUUGACCAAUCAAUUUAUGUACGAUUAUAUAUAAAGUUGUGACAAAAAUAAUUGUAUACCAACUUAAAUCAUUGUAUAAAGUUGUGACGAAAGUAUUGUGAAUCAAAUUAAACCACUCUUACCUUUAUGGAUCUCUUCCAAUUAGUGAAGUUUUGUUUCAGGAAGAUGCAAAACUAACAACAUCAUCAUUGGUCAAGAGGUAAUUCAUUUAAUGAGAAAAAGAAUAGAAAAUAAAGGGCGGAUGGCUAUUAAAGUUGAUAUGGAAAAAGUGUAUGAUAGAUUAGACUUGGUUUUAUUCAAUAAUGGAGUUCCUUUUCAUUUAAGCAAUAUCAUAAUGCACUGUGUUACCUCAACUGCUAUGCAAAUAUUAUGGAAUGGUAGUUUGAUUGAGAAAUUUCUUCUGACAGGGUGACCCUUUAUCCUUUAUAUUUUUGUUUUAUGUAUGGAAAGGUUAACUAAUUUGAUAUCCCAAGCAGUUUCUGUUAAAAAAUAAACCGAUUUUCAAAGUCAAAAAUUGCAGCGAAAGAAUUUCUAUCAAAAUUGGCCUAUAGAAAUGAUAAAGUUUAUCAAGCUGGAAAUUUCAUGAAAAGUCAAGGAUGAUGGCAGCAGCUUUAAAAGAAAUUAGCUUGUAAGGUGGAUAGCAAGCUGUCAAGAAAUUGGUUUGCAACUUGGCUUAUUAGCCUGUACAAUGGAUAAGUAGUAUCAUUUAUGAUAUACUUAAGCGAUAAAACAAUCAUUAAGGCGAUAAACUAUGUAUAUAUAUAUAUGUAUGUUUAGUUCAUGUGUGAGUGCUGGAAAAUGUUAGUGAGUUUGAGAGAAAAAAAAAAAAAGAGUGUUGUGAGUUGUAGAAGGAAAAACUAGCAGCAGUUAGUAUAGAGAGAAAAAGAAAAAGAGAGUUUGUAUUGUAUUUAUUUGUAUAUAAUAAAAAAAUAGUAUUUGAUUUAUUUUUAUUACGCUUCCAGCAAGUCGUAUCAGAGCUAGGUUCGUGUUGACGUCACAACGGAAAACAUGAUUCAACCGCAGAUUUCGAAAUUAACAAAGACAAAUUAUGGAAACUAGAGCAUCCAGAUGAGAGCUUUGCUCGGUUCUCAAGAUUUUUGGGACGUUGUCAAAGAAUGAUAUGUCGAUCCCGAAAAUAUAACUACCGAAGCGACUUUGACAAACAAAGAAAAAAGAAUAUUGAAAUAAGCUCGUAAAAAGGAUAAGAGGGCGCUGUUCUUUAUUUUUCAAGGUGUUGAUGAAUCGACCUUUGAAAAAAUUUCAGAUGCGAAGACAUCAAAAGAAGAAUGGGGAAUUUUGCAAAAAUCCCUUCAAGGAGCGGAAAAAGCCAAAAAGGUAGGUUUACAAACCCUUAGAGCUGAAUUUGAGACGUUGAAAAUGAAACCUUCAGAAAUGUUGAUGAAUAUGUCAUUCGAAUGAAAGCAAUGGUAAAUGAAAUGAAAAAAAAUGGAGAAACACUUGAUGAUGUCAGAGUAAUGGAAAAAAUUUUGCGGUCAUUAACACGCAAAUUUGAUUAUAUGGUGGUUGCCAUUGAAGGGUCAAAAGAUUUAUCACAAAUAUCAAUCAACGAACUUGUGGGUUCCCUUCAAGCCCAUAAGCAUAAAAUGAAGCAAAAUGAUGAUACUGAAAAUUCGGACCAAGUCUUGCAAAACAAGUUGUCCUUCAACGAAAGUGGAGCUGGGGAUAACUUUGGACAAAGUACAAGUAAUCGUGGAGGAUACCGUGGAGGAUAUAGAGGCAGAAAUAGAGGUGGACGAGGAACACAUGGACGAGACGAUCAAUCAUAUGGUAAAGUCCAAACAAGUGAAGAAUAUCAAACAUCAAGUCGUGGAUAAGGAGCUCGAUGCCUAGGUCGAGGCAGAGGUAAAUUUCAAUAAAGAAAUAAAUCUCAGGUAUAAUGUUAUAAUUGAAAUAAAUAUGACCAUUAUAGUUACGAGUAUAAAUUAAAUCCCAAGAUGGAGGAGAGAAAUCAUGUAACAGUAGCUAAAGAAGAAGAAAACGUGGAAUCUAGUGUAUUCCUCACUUAUAAAGAAAGUGAAAAAUUAAGAAAAAAUAUUUGAUAUCUUGAUAAUUGCUCCAGCAAUCACAUGUGUGGCCGAAAGGACUUAUUUUCAGAGUUGGAUGAGAAUAUUCAUGGCUAUAAAAUGGACCUUUAGCAGCACUUUUUUCACAAACGCCGCUAAAAACAUUAGCUUUAAAAAAAUUUAUUUUAAUUAAAUAAUAUUUAUUUCUAUGAUAAAUAUUAUAUUAUGUUUAAUUUUUAAAUUUUGAACUUUAAAUUAUAUACUUUUAAGGAUAAAUAAAAAAUAUUAAUUAAAUUAAAUUUUCUAUUAAAAUUUAAACUUCAAAACUAAAUAUAAAAUUAAUGAAUUUAAAUUAACGAAACAAGAACAUUGAUCAAGUUAAAAAAUAAAAAAGACAAUGAAGAAAUUAAGGGUCAAACAUUAGCUCCAAUAAAUGUUCAAAAUAUAAGACAGCCACCUUCAAAUAGAAAUUAAAUAACAACUAAAGCAUCCAAUGGAACAUAAUUUCACUCUUCAUCACUAAAUGUUUCCUCAUAAACAUGACUUUAUCCAAAACAAAACCUCAUACCAUUACAAAUUGCCUUUUAAGCAGAAGCUACUGCAACCUUCUUUCUUGGUGCUGCUUUAGUAGCUAUACAUCACCCCCAAUAAAAAAUAAGAACAUUUUGAAAGAAAAAAUAAAAUCCAAAAUUUCUUACAGGAACAGAAAUACGCAAUGGAACUAAAAUCAGAAUGCAAUGAGCCUAAGGACAUUAGCAUUUUCCUACCUUCCCUGAAACCUGUCUUGAACCUACGAGGAACGUGGCGAAGAUACCUCUAUACACCGGUGAUGGAGAUGUUAGCCUCAUCUAAUUAAAACCAACAGCUAGAAACACAAAUAAUCACACAAGUUAAAAAACCCAAAAUAAGUACUUAAACACUUCAAUUUGCAACAUUUAAGCACUUCAAUUUACAACAUUUAAACACUUCAAUUUGCAGCAUUUAAACACUUCAAUUUGCAGCACUUUAACAUCUCAAUUACCAACAUUUAUACACCUCAAUUACAGCGAUAAAACAUCUCAAUGUCCAGCAACUAAACACUUCAAUUUGCAGUACUUAAACACUUCAAUUUGCAACAUUUAAGCCCUUCAAUUUACAGCAUUUAAACACUUCAAUUUACAGCAUUCAAACACUUCAAUUUGUAGCACUUUAACACUUCAAUUUACAGCAUUCAAACACUUCAAUUUGUAGCACUUUAACACUUCAAUUUACAGCAUUUCAACACUUCAAUUUACAGCAUUCAAACACUUCAAUUUGCAGCACUUUAACACUUCAAUUUACAGCAUUAAAACACUUCAAUUUGCAGCACUUUAACAUUUCAAUUAACAACAUUUAAACACUACAAUUUACAGCAUUCAAACACUUCAAUUUGCAGCACUUUAACACUUCAAUUUACAGCAUUAAAACACUUCAAUUUGCAGCACUUUAACAUUUCAAUUAACAACAUUUAUACACCUCAAUUACAACAAUAAAACAUCUCAAUUUCCAGCAACUAAACACUUCAAUUUGCAGUACUUAAACACUUCAAUUUGCAACAUUUACUACUAAUAUAUAAUUUUAGGAUUCAUUAACCAAGAAAAGGAAGGAAAAGUAUUCUUACUGCCAUGGAAUAUCGCCUGCAGUCAGCCAUUCUCCUUCUUUGUCCUGGUAGGUGAGAAUAUAAUCAUCUUCAUCACAUUUCUUGUCUGUUCAUGACAUGAAAAAGAAAAAAGCAAGCUAAAUAUUGAGAUUUUUGGUAUUCUUUUAUCUUUUGAGGAAUUUAUGUAUAUAAUCAAUGACUUUACCUUUGGCAAACAUGGUGAUCAAGGAGUGAUUUAAAAUAUAAAUCAUGAAAAUCUUUUACACUAAGGAAAAUAAUGUUUUAGUAUAUAUAUUGUUGGAGUGAUUUAAACCUUUUUGGAUCUUAUGCGUUUAAAGACAGAAUCAAGUUGUUGCUCCAAAUUUUGAAGCUCUCUAAGACUCAAAUUCUAGAUAUCUUCUCCUUCGUAAUGCCUAGAAAUAUAAUUAAUUAUUUAUUAAAAGAGAAAGAUGCUUGCCUUGAAUGUAUCUGAAAUUUGAAGCCAUUGGGGGUACCUCAGGUUUCUUUGUAAAGUCUGCAUUAAGUUUUGCAUGUUCCCAGCUCUAGUUUCCCUGUAAAAGAACAUAUAUGUUCUUUCUUGGUGCUGCUUCAGUACCUAUACAUCACCCCCAAUAAAAAAUAAGAACAUUUUGAAAGAAAAAAAAAACCCAAAAUUUUGUAUUAGAUCCCAAAUCCACUGAAUACUACUUCAAAAUUCAUGCUUUUUUAUGCAUAAUGCACAUGUAAAAGUACAACUAGAAGCAGUAGUUUAAAAUUAAGUCGUAAAGUAAUCCCCCAGUAGUUAUAAAGAAAUAUCACUGGCCAUGGAACUAAAAUGACAUUCAUCACCUUUAACAGCUUGUGCCAUAAAUCUUUUAUGGAGUGCAAGUAGAAAAACAGCCACAUCAUGUAUCAUUUAUCAUAGAUAUGUGCACACACACAAAUCAGAGUGUAAGUGCUGGAAAAUUUUUUAAAACCUUACAUUAUCAAAUUAGAACUAAUUAAACAAAUAUAGAAAAGAAAAUAAAUAAUCGUAAAAUACGGGGCUGGCUUCAUUAACUAUCUCACCUUGAUUCAUGAGGGUGCCCACAUCACCUCAUCAUGAAAAAUUAUAUUUAUUAAAUAAUUUACCUUGUUUUAUCUGAUAGAAUCAUAGUUCACAAUAGUGCAAUGCUGAUCAUAUCCAUCACUUCAUCUAUGUUGCAAUCUGAGCCAAUCCUUGUAUCAACAAAUUCCAACAAGUUCCCAUUCUCCUUCAAAACAUGAGCCUAUAAAACAUACAAAUUUAAUUGCCACAUUCAAAUUCAUUGAUAAAAAAAUGAAACUCAAACUGAAAAAUGCAUAAACUUUCUUUGUCAUGUAUAUAAAGUACUUGUGUUUGGUAUAUGUGAUAUGUGUUUGACAUUCUAUAGUAUAAUCCUUCAUAUGUAUAAUAGCUUUUAUUAAAAGGUUUCCAAUGAACCCUUGAAGAGUAGGACCAUAUGAAUUCCUUCAUUAAGGACUAUCAGUUAAAAAUGCCAAAAAGUGGCCAACAGACACCAGUUGUUCAGGUUCAGCUAUUAAUCCCAGCCUAACAUCACUUGAUAGCAAGCUAAAAGGAUUAAACAUACACCAAAUACGUAAUGAGCUAAUGGUCCAAGUCUGUCACCAGGAAACUAUAGUGUUACCCAUAACUACAAAUGAAUUUCCACAUGCCAACAUUCUAGAAACUCACACGCAUGACCUGUUUCCUUCUAAAAGAUAUAAAAUUAAUUCAAUAAUUAAGUGGAAAAGGGCUCUUUAGCUCGAGGAAUGUCAAGCUUCUGAAACAUGACAUGAGGAACGCCCUUAAACACUGAAAUACAAGUUGACAGCUAAGCACAUGUUGUAGCAGGAUUCAUCAAUCAAAUGUGCUAGCAGUCUUCUAGCAUAGGCUCGAACAGAAACAUUCAAGAACUUUACAUGAAAAUUCAACAAUGGAAUUAGAUUAAUAAAAGACUCCUAUGCAACAACAGUAUCAAAGAGAGAGCUUUUUUCAUUUAAAAGAAUGCCUGGCUAACAUUUCUAAAGCAAACUUAAACAACUGUCCAAAUCAUGAUGGUAACCAUGUCCUCCAUGAUUAUCAUUUUUUAACUCUCAUCAAUAUAAGUUUUUUGCUCUACACCUCUUCACAGACAAUCUAGUCUCAACUUCCAGGUACAUCAAUAAUUUAUGAUAAAACAGGCAGAACAUGAGAAAUAUAAAUCACACAUAAAUUUGUACAUCCAUGAUGCUUAUCUAAUCUAAAAUGUAAGUGCUAUUCAGGAUGCAUAUAUAUAUAUCAAUAUAAAUGAAAGAAAUAUACUCAUGCAACAUAUAGCUAUACUAAAUCCUUGACCUUCCAUAUAAUCAAAAUGAAACAAUUUAAAUAUCUACAAAAAAAAGGGGGGGUGGGAGUAGGGUAACAUGGCAAAGUUGAUAAUCUACAAUGAGAUCAACUUAGACUAAAUGUUUAUUUUUAAUGCUAUCAAAUUCCUUAUAUCAUAAACAAGCAGACCCUUCAUCAAAAUAAACUUUUUUCUUAGUCCAUUCUCUUAUAAAGUUUUCCAUUUUACUUUCUAGUUUCUUUUGAGCUUGAUCACAGAAUUAAUUUUUUUUCAAUACUAAACCCUAAAGGCUAGAACUUUCCAAUUUAAGUUAAACAUAAUAAGCAAAAAGAAAGGGGAAAAAAGCAGAUCCUUAAGCACAAAAGCAAAGGAAGAGUAAGAAAAAGACAUACCAGCCUUGCAAGAAAAAAAAAUCGCAGAAAAGCCCUAAAAACUAAACCUAGAUCUUAUGAAGUGAUUUUCUCUGUUAUAUUAAUUCCCUUAGCUUUAAUCCCUGGCCGUUGCUGCUUUUAUGCUACUACCACUAAUACUAGUGUAUUUGAUUAUAUAUCAAAUCAAAAUCUCCGGUUUCCUCUUUAUUAAUCAAGCAGUAUCUCUUUAACUAUUCAGAACAAAUAGAACCACUGUAUUCAGAAUAACAUCAGCAUCCAUGAGAUAAACCUAAAAGAGAAGGGGACAAAUGGACUAACCAAUGGACAUAAUGGCAAACAACGUUUAGCCUGUGAGAGUUGAGUUUAGUGCGCUAUGAACAUCAAUCCCAAUCUGUGCUUCAGCUUUCUCCAAUUCAGUUGUGGCUAGCUCAGCUUCUGGGUGAAAUCUACAAGCCUUUUUUGGACAAGAUUUGCGUUGAUCCGAUCAAGUGGCACUGCCUUGACAGUAAUUAUAUCUGCAAAUGAGUUGGCAUGGAUAAAAACAAAACCGCUGCUGACAAAGUACUUUGUAGUUUCACUUCCUUCAUGCACUGACAGCACACCAGGCUUAAAUUCUGCAAUUGUUGCUACAUGUCCUGGAAGAACACCCAUCUGUCCAGUUGUGGCUGGUACUAUAACCAUGUCAACCUGGACACAGAGAGUUCAAGAUUUAAGAGAUUCAUCUUAAGAGCAACAUAUAGUCAAUGAUUUCAGACAUUAUUAUUAUUUUCCCUUCAUCCACCUCAUUUUUUUUUUCUCUUACGGGGUACAUCAACACCAUGAAAAGUUGCAUUACUGUUCCAAAUUACAUAGGACUAAUAUUCAUGGAAGAACCUACCAUGCCCCUCAGCCAAACCCACACUGAAAACAAAUAAGAAAAACAUAAAAAACAAACAUGCAUUCCUCUCUUUCAUUGUUUCAUUUAUUAUCAAUCAGAAUGGCUUCUAGGGCAAGGACAGUUCAAUAUUGUAGCUUUACUUUAUUAUGUUUACCAUUGCUCAAACUUAGCAAAAGAGCAAGAAAAACAACAGUGAACUUAGGUUGAGUCAUCCAAGUUGAAUGGAAGAGCCAUAUAAGGUCAGAUUUAGUUGAAAAUAGAGGAAAUUCCCUUAAUGGUCUAGGUGUUGGAAUUUUCUGAGAGAAAAUAUAGAUGGAAAUGGAAGAAGAAUGUUCAACAUACAGUAUCUUUCAAUCACAGCAAGGAUUACGAUUAAAAUCUAAACAAUUUUAAUAAUAAUACAAUUUUAACCUCAUAACGCCGUACGAUUCCUCGACGCACUGUUCUGUGACUCCUACAUAAUCAAUUGUUCCAUGUUAAGAUCAAGAACUAAAUAUUCAAUUUAAAAUUAAAGCAAAUGAAUCGUGCUCCUAAAGUGAAAUUAAAUGAGCAAAUCUAGAUCCAGAAGCAAGGCACUCGAAUUAAUAGAUUUAAGCAGCCAAAAUUUCCAAAUAAAAUAUCUACAAAAUUAAAGAAAAAAGAAACAUUUAGGCCAAAUUUUUAACUUCUGAAUGAAAAAAAUGCUCUAAUUAAAAGGGGGGGGGGAAUAAACCUGGUUAGAGGAGGUUGGAGAAAAAGAAACAUGUUGGACUUCGGCGGAUGAAGACGAAGUGAGAGCCACCGUAGACGCAACGAGCACGGUCGCAACAGGAGGUCCAGAUCCCUUCAUUUUCCCGAUUCUUUUCUAUAUCCGCGAUCGAACCUCAAAUAAAGAGUUAUUUUUUUGGAAGCUCCGAUGACGAAUGGGUGAAAUUCGACGAACUUCGCCGGUUCCCGACCUCCUUCUUUCCUUUUUUUUUCUCAGCCGAACAAAUACAGUACAUGUAUUGACUUGGUGUUGCUGGAAAUGGGAAAUUUGGGGGAUUUAGGGCGCGCCCUUUUUUGCGGCGUUUCCGUUAAAAACGCCAUUAUAGCUCAAAUUAUUUUGUGGAGUUUUACCUAAAAACGUCACUGUUACUUAAUUUUAAUUUUUUUUCAUUUUUAACAUAUUUUUUUAUUUUUUUCUUUCAAAAUUUUUGGGGUGAGAUUAUCAAUUUUUUAGAAUUUUUUUUAAUUUUGAAUAUUGAAGUUUUUAAUUGAAAUAUGAACUAAAAUAUUAAAUUUUAAAUUUUAAAAUUUUUUAUUUUUAAAAUUUUUAAUUUUAAAUUUUAAAUUUUUUUUGAAGAUUUUUAUAAUUUUUAAAUUAACAUAUAAAAUACAAAAGGAAACUUUAACAGAAAUAAAAUGGAAUCGAUGAAUUAAAAAAAUACAAAAUGACACUGCAAUACAAGCAUUAUUCUUUUAAAUAUGGUCCGCAUUAGUUGUUUACAUUUUUAUAUAAAUGGCAUUUAAUUAUAUGUACACACCUAAAUUUUGAAAGAGAUACAUCUCAGAAUUAUAUAUGAAUUUCGGUUUAAUGUGUAAUUGUAGACGUGAAAUUCUAAUUGUGGUUUAAAUGUAUAGUUGAAACUUUAAUUUUGAUUUAAUCAUACACAUUUUAAAAAAUAAAUACAUCAAUAUAUUUUUAUAUUGGAUAAAUAUAAAUAUUUAUGUCUGCAAUAUAUAAAUAUAAAAUGAUGUUAUAUCAAUAAUUGUGUUAAUAAUUUACAAGAACUGGAUCAAAUUAAAGUUCAUGUAUACAAUUGCACACUAAACCAUUGUUAGAAAAAGUAACAUUUACUGGGGAUUUUGGAUUUCGAAUUGGGGAGAAAAGGGUGAUUAUUUUAAGGAUUCGGAUUAGGGAAAAAGGAGAAAUUAUCUCUUACAUAAUUUAAACUAUAAUCACAAUUUUAAUAUAUUAAAAUUAAUAUUAUCUCUUUUACAAUUAUAUAAUAAAUUAUUUAAUAUAUAAAUUACAAACAUUAAUUAAUCUAAGGCUGUAAACCUCUACCCCUACCCCUUAAACCCUAAAUCAUAAACAUAAUCUCUAAACCCUAAAAACUUAACACUUAACCCCUAACCCCUAAGCCUUAACCCCCCAACCCUUAAACCAUAAACCAUAAUUCCUAAACACAUAAUCCAUAAACCUUAAAACCUUAAAAUAGUAACUCAUAAACUUUAAACCCUAAACUAUAAUGAUAAUUAAAUCAAUAUUUUAAAAUUAAUACUAUCUCUUUUAUAAUUAUAUAAGAAAAUAUUUAUCAUAUAAAUUAAAAAACAUUAAUUAAUCUAAACCCUAAACUCAUAAUCCCUAAACCCUAAAUCAUAAAUCCUAAAACAUAAGCCCUAAACCAUAAACAAUAACCUUAACCCUUAACCACUAACUCCUAACACCUAAACCUUAAACCCCAACCCUUAAACCACCCUUAAACCAUAAUCCAUAAACCUUGAAAUAGUAACUCAUAAACAUUAAACCCUUAACCAUAUACCAUAAACCCUAAACUAUAAUGAUAAUUAACUCAAUAUUUUAAUAUUAAUACUACCUCUUUUACAAUUAUAUAAGAAAGUAUUUAACAUAUAAAUUAAAAAAUAAUUAGUCAUAUACCAAAAAUCUUUAAAAUUAAUUUAAAUAAUAGUAUUUUAAUUUUUUUCAUUUUUUGUGGCAUUUUUCAAAAAGCGCCGCUAAAGCCACUAAAAGCUCAAUACAAAACGAUGGUGUAUUGCAAAAUUCUUUUUUGGCGUUUUUCAAAAAACGCCGCUAAAGGUGUACAUAUAGCGGCAUUUUUUAAAAAAGCGCCGCUAAUACUUGAUCUUUAUUGGCGUUUUUUAAAAGCACCGCUAAAGCCACUAAAAGCUCGACGGAGUUUUGCAAAAAAAUUUGGGGUGUUUUUUUGAAAAGCGUCGCUAAAGGUGUACUUAUAGCGGCGCUUUUUAAAAAAUGCCGCUAAUACUUGAUCUUUGGCAGCGUUUUUAAAAAGCGCCGCUAAAGCCACUAAAAGCUUAAUACAAAACGCGGAGUUUUGCAAAAUUCUUUUGUGGCGUUUUUUGAAAAACGCUGCUAAUGCUUAUUCUUUAGCGGUGUUUUUCAUUAAAACGCCGCUAAAAACCUUUUUUACUGUAGUGAGGCAAAGUUACUAUUACACAAAAGAAUGGAGAAAAGAAAUUUAUAUCAGAUGUUUAUUACGUACCAGCUUUGAAAAGCAACAUCAUCAGCCUUGGACAACUUCUAGAAAAAAGGAUAUGAAGAACAUAUGAAGAAUUGCAUGCUCGCCCUAUAAAAUAAGAGUGGUAAAUUAAUUGCCCAAGUUGAUAUGACACAUAACCAUCUAUUUACUAUUGACGUUGAAUCUGAAUAGGUGAAAUGCAUGAAGAAUGCAAUUAAAGAUGAAUUAUGGUUGUGGCAUUUAAGGUUUGGGCAUCUUAGAUUUUCCGGUCUGAAGCUAUUGUCAAAAGAAAUUAUGGUAAAUGGGUUGCCAGAAAUUAAUCCUCCUAAUCAACUGUGUGAAGCCUACAUUAAAAGAAAACAACCCAGACAGAGUUUUGAAACGAGAAAAACUCGAUGAGCCAGAAGACCAUUGGAGAUCGUGCACUUCGACAUAGCAGGUCCUUUUGAUAUACCAUCACUUGGUGGAAACAGGUACUAUGUUACUUUUAUUGAUAAUUUUAGUAGAAAAAUUUGGAUAUAUCUUCUUAAAACAAAAUCAGAAGCAUUUGACAAGUUUAUCAAAUUCAAAGCCAUGGUAGAAAAACAGAGUGAACAUUUCAUUAAGAUAUUCAAAACUAAUAGAGGUGGUGAGUAUACUUCAAAGCUAUUUGAAAGCUUCUGCAAGGAACAAGGAAUUAUUCACCAAUUGACAACUGCAUACACGCCAUAACAAAAUGGAGUCGCUAAAAGAAAGAAUCGCAUUAUUCUUGAUAUGGCAAGAAGCAUGGUUAAAGGUAAGCAUUUACUAAGAACUUUCUGGGCUGAAGCUGUUCAAUAUGUUGUUUAUUUGUUGAACCGAUGUCCAACAAGAAGUAUGAAAUACAAGACGUCAAACGAAGCUUAGAGUAAUCAAAAGCCAGGAGUCGGACAUCUCAAGAUUUUUGGAUACAUUGCAUAUGCUCAUGUGCUGACCAGACGAGAAAGAAGCUUGACGAUAAAGGAGUAAAAUGCAUUUUCAUUAGUUAUGAAAAGAGAAGUAAGGCAUAUAGGUUAUACAACCUUCUCACCAAGAAAGUUAUUAUUUCAAGAGAUGUUGAAUUCGAUGAAGUUGAUUAUUAGAGAUGGAGCGAAGAAGAGAAGAAAAUUAAAGGAUUAUUUUUCAGUGAUGACAAAGACAAUGAGUUCAUUAAUCAAGAACAAGGCGAUGAUCAAAGCCUUUCUCCAAGUCUUGUUACAACAACUCCUACAACAUCAUCAUCACCAACCAGCAGCAAUACCAACAACUUAGAGGAAGCACCUGCAAGAAUGCGUAGUUUACACAAUAUUUAUGAGGUUACAAAACCCAUAGAAACAAUACUCAAUUAUUCAUUAUUUUGUUUAAUGACAGAAUGUGAUCCAAUAAUAUAUGAAGAUGCAAUUAAAGAUGUCAUAUGGAAGAAGGCAAUGGAUGAAAAAAUUACAGCAAUAAAAUGAAAUGACACAUGAGAGCUAACCAGUCUACCAGAAGGACAUAGUCCAAUAGGAGUCAAAUGGGUGUAUAAGAUGAAGACCAAUAAAGAAGGAAAAAUGGAGAAAUACAAAGCAAGACUAGUUGCAAACGGCUACAAUCAAAGAUAUAGCGUAGAUUAUGAUGAAGUAUUUGCUCCAAUCGCCAGAAUUGAUACUAUAAGGCUUCUAAUGGCAAUUGCAGCAUAAAAUAAAUGGAAAAUUUAUCAGAUGGACGUGAAGUCAGCAUUCCUUAAUGACUACUUGGAAGAAGAAGUCUAUAUUGAACAACCACCUAGAUAUAGCAAACAAGGACAAGAAGACAAAGUUUAUCGCUUGAAGAAAGAUUUAUAUGGACUGAAGCAGGCUCUGAGAGCAUGGAACACAAGAAUAGAUGAAUACUUUCAGAAGAACAAGUUCAUGAAAAGCCCAUACGAGCAUGCUCUAUAUACGAAGAAAAAUGAAGUUGGUGACAUCAUGAUCGUGUGCUUAUAUGUGGAUGAUAUGAUUUUUACAGGAAACAAUCCAGGUUGAUUUUAAAAAAGCUAUGACUAAAGAAUUUGAAAUGACAAAUAUACUAAAGAAUUUGAAAUGACGGAUAUUGGUGAAAUGUCAUACAUUCUUGGAGUCGAAGUAAAACAAAUGAAAGAUGGUACAUUUGUGUCUCAAAAGAAGUAUGCAGAACAAAUUUUAAGCAAAAUUUAAUAUGAAAGAUUGCAAGCCAGUAGCCAUGCCAGCAGAACCAGGCAUGAAAUUAAGUGUUGAUUCAUCUAGAGAGCCAGUAAAUUCAACGUUAUUUAAAAGUAUCAUUGGAAGUUUAAGGUACUUGACUAUCACGCGGCCAGACAUCAUGUACGCAGUGGGAAUAGUUAACAGAUACGUGGAGAAACCAAAACAAGAUCACCUAAUUGCAGCAAAGAGAAUUUUGAGAUACAUCAAAGGUACGAUGGAUCAGGGUUUAUUCUAUACACACUCACAGAGUUCAAAAUUGGUUGGCUAUUCAGAUAGCAAUUAUGGUGGUGACUUGGAUGAUCGCAAAAGCACAUCCGGAUAUUUAUUCCAUAUUGGUUCCACAACAUUUUCAUGGUCAUCGAAAAAGUAACAAACAGUAGCCCUCUCAACAUGUGAAGCAGAAUACAUGGUUGUUGCAACAUGUACGUGUCAAGCAAUUUGGUUGAAGAAUAUUAUGGGUGAAUUAUCUAUUAUACAAGAAGGUCUAAUUACAAUUUAUGUUGACAACAAGUCCACAAUAUCUCUUGUAAAAAAUCCAGUGUCUCAUAGUUUAAGCAAGCAUAUUGAUACAAAGUAUCAUUUUAUUCGAGAGCAAGUGAAAAAUGAAAAUGUGGAGUUAGUUUACUGCAAAACAGAAGAUCAAUUGGUGAACAUUUUUACGAAGCCAUUGAAAGCAGACAUAUUCCAUAAACUCAAAGAAAAGCUUGGAGUGAAAAGUUCGGUUUGAGGGGGAGUAUUAGAAAACAAAUCGAUUUUUCAAAGUCAAAAAUUGCAGCCAAAGAAUUUCUAUCAAAAUUGGCCGGCAGAAAUGAUAAAGUUUAUCAAGCUAGAAAUUUUAUGAAAAGACAAGGAUGAUGGCAGCAGCUUUAAAAGUUUUACACGGCAAACAAAUUAGCUUGCAAGGUGGAUAGCAAGUUGUUAAGAAAUUGGUUAGCAACUUGGCUUAUUGGCAUGUACAAUGGAUAAGUAUUAUCAUUUAUGAUAUACCUAAGGGAUAAAGCAAUCAUUAAGGCGGUAAACUAUGUAUAUAUAUAUAUAUAUAUGUUUAGUUCAUGUGUGAGUGCUAGAAAAUGUUAGUGAGUUUGAGAGAAAAAAAAAAGUGUUGCGAGUUAUGGGAGGAAAAACUAGCAGCAGCUAGUAUAGAGAGAAAAAAAAGAGAGAGUAUGUAUUGUGUUUAUUUGUGUAAAAUAAAAAGAUAGUAUUUGAUUUAUUUUUAUUACACUUCCAACAGUUUCACAGGGACUAUGGAAACUUGUGCUAUUAGUGAAGAAGGGAUCACCGAUAUCCCAUUUAUUUUUUGCUAAUGAUCUUGUUCUUUUUGCGGAGGCUUUUUUAGAUCAAAUGCGAGUUAUUUUGCCCUUUUUUGGGGAACAAGAUCAGUGAAAAAAAAUUAUUUUUCUAAAAAUGUGGCAAUGCCUACCCAUGUUACUAUCAAUGAAGAGAAUGAUUAUAUAGUGGUUAAAGAUUUAGGGAAGUAUUUGGGAUGCCUUUGCUAUAAAAGAGUUACAAAUGCAACUUCCCAAUACCUGAUUGAGAAUAUGCGAUAAAAGUUAUAUGGUUGGAAGGCACGAAACCUCUCUCUUGCGAGUAGAAUUACAAUGGCCAAAGUUGUUUUAGCGGUUAUACCAAUUUAUGUGAUGCAGUCGAUGGUGGUUCCAAAAGGUAUUUGUUUGGGAAUGGAAAAUAAAAUGAUUCGGAAUUUUAUAUAGAAGAGAAAAAUUAGUCUUGUCAAUUGGAAAGGGAUAUGUUUACCCGUUGAGUAGGAGUAUGGGGUUUAAAAAGAAGUUUCAAAAUGGUGCUUUUUCUUAUGAAAUUGAGGUAUAAUUUAAUGAGAAAGGAUUGUAUGAAAUUGUGAUUUCAUACCAUUUCUAUCCCUUUUCAAUAAAAGAAUGACAAAUUAGAUUUUUCCUCCUGAUUUUAAACAGUUUUAGUUAAAUUUAAAUUUUUUCACGAGAAAAAAGCUGAAAGUAAAAAAAAAUAUGAUUUGUCAUUCUUCUAAGGUAAAGAAAUAAGGAUGGCGUGGAAUAAAAAAUAUGAUUUAUUAUUUUUCUAUGAGAAAAAAAUAAGGAUGACGUGGAAUUAGAGUUUUAUACAAACUUUCUCAUAAUUUAAUAGAUCAGCAGGAUUGGGUUCAAGUGAUGCGCACAAAAUCUAUGUACGAAGUCAUGGCCUCCAAUUUGGAGAGGGAUUGCAAAUGUUUGAGACGUGGUUCGGAAUGGACUGACUUGGAGCAUAGGCAAUGGCAGUAGUGUAGAUUUUUGGCGUGACCCAUGGAUUACGGAGAUUAGCCCCUUAAUCAAUCAAAGUUAGAAGCCAGACGAGAUUCCCGCUCAAAGAGUAGCUAUUGAACAGAUGGUCAACUCAAGUGGAUAUUGGAAUUGGGGACUGUUUGCGCGACUGUUACCUCAAGUCAGUUUUGGCUAGAAUCGCUAGCCAAAGGCCACCUCUCGCUUGGGAUGUUGAUGAUUUCCUUGGUCGGCGUUGGAACAAAGGGAGGGGUUUUACUUCGAGAUCAGCUUAUGAUGCUUUGCUGGAUCUGAAUGGGGAACCGACUGACCCGAAAUGGAGCAAGCUUUGGAGGUUCAAGGGCCCUCAAAGAAUUAAAACAUUUAUUUGGCUCGCGGCUUCGGGUAAUUUGCUGACAAAUGUAAACCGGAUGGGGAGGCUCAUGACGGAUAGUGGGCUGUGUCAAUUAUGUGGUGAAGAUGAUGAAGACAUCGACCAUGUGCUUCGGGGAUGCUAUCCGACAGCCUUUUGAAGUGGUCUUAUGGAAGCUGGUAAAUUGAAUGAGUUCCUUACCAUGAAUAUUGAGGAUUGGAUCUUCACAAAUGUGCUUGAUCCAUUACAUUUUGUAGAGUUCGAUAAUGAUUGGGACACUAGAUUUGGGUUUUUACUAUGGCUAUUAUGGUAGAAAAGGAAUGAUUUUGUGGAAUGGGAACCAAUUUUGCGGCAAGCAAAUCGGUUAACAAUGGAGAUCAAUAGGGCGCGAGCUAGCCAGGUAAUUGGUACUGCUACUAAAUCGAGAAUUCAGUCACUUGUUUGCUGGGAAAAACCGAGAAUAUGGGUGGAUCAAGGUUAACAAGGAUGGCGCAAGGAAAUUUGCAACGGGUGCAGCUGCAGCGGAAGGGGUGUUUCGAGACAGUAAUGAUCACUGGGUAAUGGGUUUUGCUAUGAAUAUUGGCACGUGUAUGGCUAUGGAAGUAGAACUUUGGGGAGCCUUGGAGGGGUUGCAACAAGCAAGGAAGAUGAUCGGGCGAUCGACUAAGAUCAGAUGGAUAAUUCACAGGCAAUAUCUCUGCGGUCCAAAGGGAAGGGUUUGAAUCACUUUUUUGGAUAAGAUCAUGGAACAUAGUAUUUGGAUACCAUCAUUGUCUCUCUUGCCUUGAGUCAAAUUUUAAUUUCAAAAAGAUUUUGAAAUUCAAGCUUAGUUUGUUAAUAUGCUCAAAUAGCAAGUUUUACUAUUAAAAACAAUAAAAAUAUUUUUAUUUAAAUUUAAUUAUGAAAUAUAUAAAUAUUAGUAUGAUUUUUAAACCGUAAAAUAAAUUGGACAGAAGUUAAAAAAAUAUAAAUUCAAGCCUGAGUUAAAGUCAAUUGGGUUAUGUAGUCUACUUAAUCCAUAAAUACUUCUACUUCUUACUAAUCACUAUGUCGCGCCUACUUUGAUUUCACAUUUCUGUAAAAUAUAUACACAAAUCGUUUUCGGAUUAUAAUUAGAACCCCCUUUUUUUGGACCCAUCUCACAUCGAUGACUCAACCCCUCCCACCU
rnacentral:lncRNA from 1 species